GAUCCCUUUGGUAUGUGAAUCAAGUGUAUCUAGUGCAAUCAACAACGGGAUCUCUGUUGUUUGUGUCACUACAGGAACAAGUAGCAUCUACCAUAACCUUUCGAUUCCAUGUUCUCGAGAUUGACCUGGAUACUCAAAUGUGGACAGAAGUUGAGAACUUGGAGAACACGUCCCUCUUCUUGGGCCACAAUUCUUCCUUCUCUUUGGAAGUCGAUGAAGAUCAUCUCAUCAAGCCAAAUUGUAUUUAUUUUACUUACUCUUGUCUCUCAUCGUUCCAGUUUACUGAAGACAGAGGAGACAAAGGCAUGGGAAUAUACCACCUCGAAGAUGGUACGGUCGAGCUGCAUGUCGAGGGGAAAUCUUCUCCUCCGCUUUGGAUCGAACCAUGCUUUUAAGCCAUAGCUAAAAAGUUUGGCUUGUUGUCAAUGAUGAAGUGAGCAGAUUAUUGGAAUGACAAGCGAUAGGUACACGGUUAGUCCAAAAAGUUAGCAAUUCAUUUUAAAUAUUUGAAAUUGUUAGGUCAUUGGAAGUAAAAUUGUACUGACAUCUGAAUUUUGCUUUUAAUGCUGCGAAUUUUACACUUAAUAUUGGCGAUAUUUUUGUAUUAGCUGUCUGGAUGUCUGUUCUACACAAGAACAAAAUAGAGUUAAGGCAAACAUAGGGUUUGAACUUUGAACAAGGAAAAAAAUGAAGGGUUGAAAAUAAUAUUGAUUCCUUAACUGGGGUUAACUAUUCUUUUUUUUUUUUUUUUUAUUCAUUAGGCCUUACAUUAAAUCCACAGACCAAAAAGAAUUCUGCAAUAACCUCGCUCGCAUGAAAGGGGGAUAUUCAACUGUAUUAUCCGAAUCUCUACACUAAACAUUUCAAGUUGACAUACAUUUUCUAGUAAACAAUGAAAAGCAAAUCAUUAUGGCCAGUGAAAUUAGUAAAUAUCAUGUUGUUAAUAAGGAUCUCGCCAAUCUUGAAUGAUUAAUUGCAAUGUUUAUAUAUUUGAUUCGAUAAACAUUUUGUGUUUCGAUUCUUUUCGUAUAGCUAAGUUCUAGCUGUGAAGUGUAAAUUUCCAAGAAUUUGUUAAGGCUUCCUCCACAAAUUGGAGCUGUAACCAGGAACACAGGUUAGGGCGUCUAAGUUGAUUGCCCGGAUUGGCCGUUAGAUGCUCAAGUCAAAGUUUGAAGAUGGUGGAAACUAAUGAAGUUUAGAUAGGGGUAAAAAGUUCUUGCCCGUUGGGUGAGGAUUGACAGAUGAUGACCAAACUAUAAGUUCCGAAAACAAAACGUCUUUGUUCAACCCAUCCUAUUUUUCAAAAUACAAAAGAAUAUUUCAAAUAUUAUUACAAAUUAUCUACAUUAGUGUCGACUGUGCCAUGUAAGACAAACAACAUUCACAUUAGUGAUUUCCAGCUAAAUUUGGCCAAAUGGAUUCAAUUGAUAAAAUUAAAAAGUUUAAAACUGAAUUGACAAAAGUGUAAUAUUACGUUUACGAUUUUUUGGACAAUUAAUGAAAAAAUUCAAUUACAAGGAUAUGUUAUGUACUACGUACCAUUGUAGCAACACAAAUUAAGAAAAAUUAAUAAGGUCUUUUAAAUUUUAAUAUUCCAUACUUGAUAUUGCAACUUUAAAAUUUUCCUAAAUUAAAUCUUGCCGCCAUACAACAAACCAUGGUCAAAUUUACUUUACAGUUAUUGGGAAAAAAAAACGAAAAAGGGACUUGCUUCCGAAUCAAUUCAUACACCGCCCGUCUACAAAAGAUAAACCCAUUUGAAACUUUUCAAUAGUUAUUUCAAAAAAUAAAUAAAAAAAAUUUCCUUAAAAAAUCAUUGGUUCUAAAAAAAGGCGGACCACCGGCAAUUCUUAAUAUCAUAGCACCAAAACAAUUUGGAUUCUUUCUUUCCUUUUUCCAAUAAAUGUGCCAACCUAUUUAAUCGUGACCAAAUUAAUCCUUUCAUGAAUUUUAACAAACCAUAUUCUUUCAACAAAGUAAAAAAGUUCCGAAACCAAAACGUCUUUGUUCAACCCGUCCUAUUUUUCCAUGUAACCUUUACCUUAUGCGCACAUGCCUUUAUAACUUUUCCGACGCAUGAAAUUUUGCCGGCAAAUUGAAUCCGAAUUUUGAGAUAUUUGUAAAAAUAAAUAAAUAAAUAAUCAGUGGGGCAAUUAAAAAAAAUGAUGGACGGAUAACAAGUAACCGCCGUAGAAAAGGCCUCAAUCUGAUUGGGCCUGUUCCGUUGAUCCAGAUAACUGUGGCCGAAGCCCAUAAAUAUUGAUCUAAUUUGGCCCAUUCAGUUUGGGCUCCAAACUCAGCCCAUCAGUUUGGCCAGUAAAACAAGUGGAGCCCAUCCUCCAUCCCCUUGUUAUUUCGCUCUCUCUGGAACGACAGACGAACACCCAAGGGACGACGCCCGCGACCAAGAAACCCGCCGUCGGCUGGCCGGUCACCGGCGUUCGCCGACGACCGCCUUCCACCAUUCGUACACAUCCGUCAAAGAAGCGAGAGCCGAAAGAAUCUUUUGGAUUCCGUCUUUGAGCUUUUUCUCCGUUGAUUCUGAAGGGUGUCCGGGGCAUCAUCGAUCACCGCCCGUCUUCAAGUUUCUAAAGGCGCAGCGGUUGCAGUGCUCUGCAGCGUCGGCCCACCGGCGACGAAUUUCUUUGGAAUUCCGGUUCCCAGUUCGAUCGGGGGUGCUCCUGGUCAUGGCAUCUACCAGGUACGAGAGUAGAUUCCCAAUUUUAAUAUGUGUAAUCGAGUCUGAGAAAUGUGGUCGAGGCCCAUGUGAAAUUCGUCUCUGGUUAGAGCUUCAUCAGUGUUUCGAAUGUGCAUUGAGCCUGUCGUGAUGAUCUGAUAGUGAUUCUUGGCCUUUUACGUGAGCGGAAGUCCAUUACUCGAAGUGCAUGCCACUUAUUCGAUGAAAUGUCUGAGUGAAAGCAUAAUGCAUGUCCUCUGAAGGCUUGUGUUAAUGUGAUUUGGUGGAAAUUGAUGUGAAAUUCGUCUCCUUUAAAAGCUUUAUCAAUGUCUCGAAUGUGCAUUGAAGCUGUAGUCAUGACCUGAUAGUGACUCUUGGCCUUAUAUGUGAGCGGAAGUUCAUUACUCAAAGUGCAUGCCGCUUAUUCGAUGAAAUGUCUGAGUGAAGUCAGAAUGCAUCUUCUCUGAAGGAAACAAGUUCAAGAAGGCAUGUGUUGAUGUGAUUUGUGUGAGAUAAGCAGAUUCUUUAAAUAUUAAACCUGAUUUAAUUGCACAAUGAGGUAGCUGAAAGUCUUCCUGAUCCUUUUCCAUUCUGAUUUUCUAUCUCCCUUGUCGGAUUCUGCUUUGAACUUAGUAUGACAGAAAACUGGGCAGAGCUCCCACAAGAGUUGUUACAACUAUGUUCCCAGCACCUUUGUCUGAAGAAUUUAUCGGCGUUCCGAGCAGUGUGCCGUUCGUGGCAAUCUGCUGCUGUCAAAGAGUGGAGCAAUGUCCCAUGGUUGAUGCUCACAGACCAAAAGGGGAUGCCAUGGUGUGAGUUUUUCUGCCUCUCAUGUCAGCAAGUUCACAGAAAGCUGUCGCCAGAAGUGAUGGCGAAUGGAUAUUUCUCUUCGCGAGGUUGGGUGUUGACAACCAGCAGAGACGGGGAAUUCCACAUGCUAAAGAAUCCCAUGUCAUGUUACAAUCAUAUUAUUAAGCUUCCCAAUUGGAAUAAGUUCCCCAACAUCGAAGAUUUGCCUUUCUUUGAUGUUGAAUUCAUCUGUAAGUUUGUCCUAUCUGAUAGCCCUACUACAUCUCCAGAUUACAAGGUCAUGGUCAUCUAUGACACUAGACAGUUAGGGCUUUGGAAACCCGGCAAAGAGGAGUGGACAGCAGUGAACUCCCUCACAGAACAAUUUUACGAUGUCAUAUAUUAUAAGGGAUCCUUUGUUGCUGUCGAUUUUGAGGAUAGGAUAUUGAGGUGCGACGUGGAUGGACCAACUCCGUUUGAGGCUCAAGUAGUUUUCCAGAUGCGGCAAAGACUCCCAGAAUUCAAGCAUGAGUAUCCCCCAGGAUCCUUUUGGUAUGUGAAUCAAGUGUUUCUAGUGCAAUCAACGACGGGAUCUCUGUUGUUUGUGUCACUAGAGGAACAACUAGCAUCUACCAUAACCUUUCGAUUCCGUGUUCUCGAGAUUGACUUGGAUACUCAAAUGUGCACAGAAGUCGAGAACUUGGAGAACACGUCCCUCUUCUUGGGCCACAAUUCUUCCUUCUCUUUGGAAGUCGAUGAAGAUCAUCUCAUCAAGCCGAAUUGUAUUUAUUUUACUUACGUUCGUCGCUCAUUGUCCCAGUUUUUUGAAGAUGGAGGAGACACAGGCAUGGGAAUAUACCACCUUGAAGAUGGUACGGUCGAGCUGCAUGUCGAGGGGAAAUCUUCUCCUUUGCUUUGGAUCGAACCAUGCUUUUAAGCCAUAGCUAAAAGGUUUGGCUUGUUAACACUGAUGAAGUAAGCAGAUUAGUGAAGUGACAAGAUAGAUCCACGGUUUGUACAGAAAGUUAGCAAUUCUUUUUAUGAAUUAGAAAUUGUUAGGUCAUUGGAAGUAAAAUUGUACUGAAAUCUGAAUUUGUGCUUUCGAUACUUCGAAUUUUACAUCUAGUGAUGACGUCUGGGUGUUUUCUUUCUAUUGUUUUAUCUCUUCUGCUGCCUUACAUGAUAUAUCGUGUUGGUUCUAACAAAAAACAAAAUCGAGUGAAGGCAAAACAUAGCGUUUGAACUUUGAACAGGGAAAAACAAUGGAGAGUCGAAAAUAUAUUGACUCAUUAAGUGUGGUUAACUAUUUUCUUCUCUUUUAUACAUUAGCGCCUUAUAUUUUCGAGUGAACAAUAAAAAGAAUCCUACAAGAACCUUGGUCGCAUGAAAGAGGGGAAUAAUUUAACUGUAUUUUCUGAAUUUCUACACUACACAUUUCAAGUGACAUAUAUUUUCGAGUAAACAAUGAAAAGCAAAUCACUAUGGACAGUGAAAUUAGUAAAUAUCGAUGUUGUCAAUAAGCAUCUCGCCAAUCUCGAAUGAUUAAUUGUAAUAUUUAUAUAUUUGAUUCGAUGAGAAUUUUGUGUUUCGAUGCUUUUCGUAUAAGCUAAGUUCUAGCUGUUAAGUGUAAAUAGAUCUGUGAAGGCUUCCUUCACCAAUUGGAGUUGCAACCAUGAACGCAGGUUAGGGGAUCCGAGGUGAUUGCCUGGAUUGGCCCUCGGAUGCUUAAGUUGUAGUUUGGAGGAUGGCGGAAACUUAUGAAGCUAUAGGGGUAAAGAGUUCUUGUCCGUCAGGUGAGGAUCGAUAGAUGAUGACCAAACUGUAAGCAAGUACCAAGGUCUCUAAUACCUAAAACACAAAAUUUGGUGUUCUUAAGGUUAUAUAUUGAUGGAGUAUUGCAUUUUAAAGAAUGAUAAUUCUCCCAUUUCUUGAGAUCAUGGGCAAGGUGCAAUGAUAAAGGUUUUAGAAAAUCUGACUAAGAGAUUGCGUUCUAAUUGCUCAAGAAGCACGUCAGACCCUUUACUACUUAACACUAUGUAGAUGUUAAAAUCGUGCACCUGCAGUAAAUUAUGUGAAUCUCGUUACCUAAACAGCACUUGCCUCGUCUCCUUCCCCUUUCCCUCCCUAUCGGUGGCUACAGGUUCAGUUUUUAGAUUUAUUCCUGAGAUCGAGCUUUUGACGCUUCUUUUGCAUCUUAAAGAGCCCCACUAGAGUUGCCCAUUCCCAAACCUCGCAACAGAUUUAAACAAAGCAUAAAUCUCUAAUUGAUAAAUCUUCAAGAACCUAACUAUAGUUGCACAUUUCCAACCUCGCAAUAGAUCUGAACGAAAGUUAAACAUCUAAUUUAUAAAUCUUCAGCAGACCUGAACAAAACUUAAAUCUCUAAUUCAUAAAUCUUCAAGAGCCGCACUAUAGUUGCACCUUCCCACCUUUUUAGCAAUAGCUUGGUUUAUAUAAUCAAAAUGAAAUGUUAACACGUAUCUCUUAUUCAUCCACAAAGGCAUCACGUUUAGCGCAAACUCGUUCACAUCAUUAGAAGAAUCAACACCAACACAGUAAAGGGGGUAAAGUUGAUGUGAAUCGUUGUGGAAAGAUUAUUCUACGAAGGUGGAUGGUGCGAAUUGCGAACCUCGACCUCCAAUCAAACCUGUGAUUGACAACCUUGGUAUGAACGUGAUCUAUUGACGAACACAUGUCAACCAACCAACGUUAUAGACGCCACGAGCGAAAGAAUUCACUAUCUCGCUCGAUAAGUCGAAUCGACCGCUACAAGAGAAUCUUAUUAGGUCAAGUCCUCAAAAGAAUAGUAAAAGAGAACCUUUCAAUUCUUUUCCUCAAAAAUAUAUCCGUCCCCCAAAGAAAUUCAAUCAGUCUUAUAUAUAGGCCUUCUAGCCGCCACACAAACCCUAAAACCAACCUAGAGAUAUAAUGCAUCAUAUUCUAGAAUAUUCCUAAACAAGAAUAUAUAUAUUUGACUUGGUCAAAUAUUUGGUGACCAGAUAAUCAAAUUGCGCCAAGAUUUCCAAGAUUCUUCAAGAUUUGAUCCAAGGUUAUUUCCACGCCAAAGAUCACGAACCAUGACGCCAAUAGCUUGCCUAAAUUGCUUGGCCCGCGCUCGAGUAAUUGAACCAAUAAGAAUAAACAAUGGGUCCCUAUCACCUCCUCCUCGAUAUGGCUCGAUGUCCACAUCAUUCCCUCCCCCGUGCAAAGGAUUUCCCCUCAAAUCAUCACUGGCAUCGAAAAGAGUCAAGUAAAAAACAUUAAAUGUGGCACUAACGUCAUACUUACCUGGAAGAUCAAGCUUGUAGGCAUUAUUGUUAACUCUUUCCAACACCAUGAAUUGUCCAUCUCCUUGCGGUAAUAACUUAAAAUGUCGCCAAUCUUCCCAAGAUUUUAUGUUCCUUUUAAUAAUAGCAUGCAACAAUACCCCUAAAGUUCUAUUAACUACCUUGGUUGGACCAUUGGUCUAUGGAUGACAAGUAGUAGAAAAUAACAACCGUCUUCCUAAUUUUUUCCACAAUGUUUUCCAUAAGUAGCUAAGAAAUUUAGAAUCUUGAUAUGAAAUAAUCGAUCUAGGCAUGCCAUGCAAACGUACAACCUCCCUAAAGAACAAAUCAACAACAUGAGAUGCAUCAUUGGUUUUAUGACAAGGUAUAAAAUGAGCCAUCUUUGAAAACCGAUCAAUAACCACAUAAAUAGAAUCUCUACCAUACUUAGACCUAGGCAAUGCUAACACAAAAUCCAAAGAAAUAUCAGUCCAAGGAUGUGUUGGAAUAGGUAAUGGCGUAUAUAAGCCAUGCGGUUUAGUUGUAGACUUAGAUUGUUUACGAGCAAUGCAUCUGUCACAGACACGUGUGACAUCUCUCUUCAUAUAUGGCCAAUAAAAAUAUUCAUGCAACACUUCAUAAGUCUUAUUAAUACCAAAAUGUCCCAUUAAACCACCACUAUGCACUUAUCGCACCAACAAUUCACGUGAAGAACACUUAGACAAACAUAGUUUGUUUUCACAGAAAAGAUAACCUUCAUGCCUAUAGAAUUUAUCAAAUGCAGCGUGUUCACAUGCUUCAUGCACUCUCCCAAAGUCAUCAUCAUCAGUAUAUAAGCCCUUGAUAUGCUCAAAACCUAAACACUUUGCUUCUAAAGUAAUUAGAAUCGCAUACCUUCGAGAAAGUGCACCGGCUACCACAUUCUCCUUACCUUUCUUGUACUUGAUCACAUAUGGAAAAGUCUCGAUGAACUCCAUCCAUUUGGCAUGUAUUUUAUUCAACUUUUGCUGCCAUUUCAAGUACUUCAAGGUCUCGUGGUCAAUGUGGAUUACAAACUGCUUCAGCCAUAAAUAAUGUUGCCAAGUCUCCAAAGCUCGCACUAAAGUAUAUAUCUCCUUAUCAUAGGUAGGAUAAUUCAAUGUUGCUCCAAUCAAUUUUUCGCUAAAAUAAGCUAUGGGACACUCUCCUUGCAUCAACACGGCUCUAAUUCCUAUACCAUAAGCAUCACACUCUAUCUCAAAAGUAGCACUGAAAUUUGGCAAAGAUUACAAAGGAGCAUUAGUCAACUUAUCUUUUAGCAGAUUAAAUGCUUUCUCUUGCUUUUCUCCCCACGUGAAACCCACGUGCUUCUUGAUAACCUUAGUUAAAGGGGCGGAAAUGGUGUUGAAAUUUCUCACAAAUCGCUAAUAAAAACUCACCAAUCCUUGAAAGCUACGCACGUCUCCUAUGGACUUAGGCAUUGGCCAUUCACGGAUUGCUUUGACCUUUUCUUCACCAACCCAUAUACCAUUAGCACUAACAACAAAUCCUAGAAAUACUAAUUUGUUGGUAACAAAAGAGCACUUCUUUAGAUUAGCGUAUAAUUGCUUGGCCCUUAAAACCUGCAAGACAGCUCGCACAUGCUCAAUAUGGUCAUCAGGACUUCGGCUAUAUAUCAAGAUGUCAUCGAAAUAGACAACCACAAAUCGACCAAUAAAAGCACGCAAAACACGAUUCAUAAGUCGCAUAAACGUGCUUGGUGCAUUAGUUAAUCCAAAUGGCAUGACUAACCACUCAUAUAAUCCAUACUUGGUCUUAAAUGCAGUUUUCCAUUCAUCACCUUCUUUCAUCCUAAUUUGAUGAUAGCCACUUUUUAAAUUGAUCUUAGUGAAAAUGCAAGAACCAUGCAACUCAUUUGACAUGUCAUCUAACCUAGGAAUAGGAUGUCGAUACUUUAUCGUAAUGUUAUUGAUUGCUUGGCAAUCGACACACAUUCGCCAAGUUCCAUCCUUCUUUGGCACCAACAAAACAAGGACAGCGCACAGGCUAAAACUCUCUCUCACAUACCCCCGUUCCAAUAGUUUGCUAACUUGCCACUGAAGUUCCUUUGUCUUAUUGGAAUUGCUUCGAUAUGCGGGUUGAUUAGGUAAUGGCGCAUCAGGAAUCAAGUCAAUUUGAUGUUCUAUGCCUCGAAUCGGUGGUAUCCCUUCUAGAAGUUUAUCAGAAAAGACAUCUUCAAAUUCCUGCAAUAAUGACACAAUAAAACUAGGCAAACUUGGGCCAAGAUCGUUAGUAGAAAACAAAACCUCCUUGUACAUAAGUACAAUCAUUGGUCGGUCUAGAACUAAAGCUCUCCUCACUUCACUUGAUUUUGCAUAAAAAUUAUUUUGUCUCUUUUCUUUCCUCUCUUCUUUUCUCUUGGUUUUUACCACAAUCUUUCUCUUGGCCUAUCCUUUUCCUUGCGUCUUAGACACACCACGCAAGCCCUCGGAUUUCUCACAUUUUCUCUCUCUCUCUCUCUCAACUUCUCGUUGUAACUUUAAUUGAUCUUGAUACACCUCACGAGGUGUCAUUGGUACUAAGAUAUAAGUCUUUUGAUUCAUCACCAAUGAAUAACGAUUAGUAUACCCAUCAUGAUGUACAUUUCGAUCAUAUUGCCAUGGUCUUCCAAGUAAGAUAUGACCUGCUUGCAUAGGUACAACAUCACACUCUACCUCGUCCUUGUAUCUCCCUAUCUCAAAUGAAAUUCGAACUUACUUCGAUACUUUCACCUCACCACUAUCAUUUAACCAUUGAAGUCUAUAAGGCCUAGGGUGCUUUGUCGUUUUCAAACCCAAUUUAUCCACCAUAGUACAAUUUGCCACAUUCACACAACUACCUCCAUCAAUUAUCAUACUAUAGAUCUUACCUUUCAUCACACAUCUUGUAUGAAACAAGUUAUCUCUUUGUUGGUGAUGCUCCUCCUCCUUUACUUGCACACUCAGAGAACGCCUAACCACCAAUAAGUCUCCUUUUAUAGCCACUUCUCCAUCACUACAAUCUUCCAAUGGUGGCAUCUCAUCAUCCUCUUCUUCCCUUUCACUUUCGGACUCAAUAACACCAUGUCCAAUCAUGAUCAUCACCCUCUUAUUAGGGCAUUGAUUCGCCAUAUGACCCCUGCCCAAACACUUAAAACAUUUAAUCUCAUGAGUUCUAGUGUUAGGGUUUCGGUUUGACCUAAAGCCGAAUUCAUUCCAACUUUACCGUCCCUCUCCUUCUCCUUUGAGGUUUUGGCUUUGAUGUUGUUUCCUCUCCAAUUUGGCUUCUCAUCUCUCUUCCAAUUGGAUCUCCCAUUCUGAUUUGAACCUCCUCCAUUCUUGUGGUUUCGGUCCAACUUCAAUUGCCGCUCAACUUUGAUGGCUUUGUCUACGAAUUCCUCCAAUUUAACAUAGUGUUGCAGCUUCACCACCCUUACUAUGUCUUGGCUCAAACCACUCAAAAAUCUUGACAUUGCAGCCUCACGGUCCUCCACCACAUUAGCACAUAUCAUGGCAAUCUCCAUUUCCUUGUGAUACUCUUCCAUGCUCUUAUUGCCUUGUGUGAGAUUUUGUAACUUUUGAAAUAAAUCUCGAUGGUAAUGACUUGGUACAAAACACCUCCUCAUCACUGCUUUCAUCUCAUCCCAUGUCUCUAUCGGUCUUUCAUCAUAGCGUCUCCUACUAGUCACAAGUUGAUCCCACCAAAUUAUAGCAUAAUCAGUAAAUUCAACAGAUGCAAUUUUUACCUCUUUGAGUUCGGAGUAUUGUUGACAAUCAAAUACCAUCUCCAUGCGUUUCUCCCAUUCUAGAUACACAUUAGGAUCAUUCUUCCCUUGGAAAGAAGGAAUUUUCAUCUUGAUAUUGCCAAGUUCAUUAUCUUCUCGGUGUCUAAACCCUCGGGCUCCAUUCCACCUUCCAAAUUGAGCAUCUUGAUCAUCCACGAUGUUGGUCUCAUCAUCAUCAUAAUGCCGCUGCCUUCUAGGUUGUGUUCUAGAGGCGUCUCGCUAAUGCUGUGGCCUUCCUCGGGGUAGCUCUCGGUCACCAUCAACCCUCAUGCCAUUCCCCAUUAUUCGUCCACUAAGCUCCUCCACGACGGCCCUCAAUUGUUGGAUACUUUCCACGAGCGCUUCAUCCCUUCGUAUGGAGUCAAUCUCCCUUUGAUUCACGCUUUCUUCGGGCGACAUAUUUUAGACCUGUAAGUAAACGUUAGUCACAAAAAUCCUCACCAAUCGCUCCCUCACGUGUUUCUCUCAAGGUGUUUGUCACUCCCCUCAUGUUUAACUCAAGUCUAGGCUUUUUCCACCCUCAAUUAAGCUUACACACUCUUGCCUUUUUCCUCUCGUAUUCUCUUUUCACAAGCUCUUUAUCGGACUUAAAACCUAUCUCUUAACCCCCUCACGAUAAUUAAUCCAACUAAUCAAACAAGAUUAGAUCACUAUUGAUUUUGUUUUAGCAAGUAACAAUUUCAAACUAACAAGAACAACUUUCGAAAUUCCAAUUGAAACGCAAAUCACUACUGAUUUUGUUUCAAUUCAAUCCACUAACAAACGAGUCACCUUCUUGAUUUUUUUUUGUUCAACUAUUUUUUCUGCCAAAUCUGUUUUUUUUUUCUCUUGCGCACUUUUUUUUGUGCGUUUUCUUUCUCUUCUUUUUUUUUUGACGAACUUUCUUUUUUUUUUUGACAAACUCAGAUACAAUUUAAGAUGCUAGAAAAAAAAUUUAAAACUAGCAGCAAACAACUUCAUAUGGAAGCACUAAAGCAAUUGGAUCCCUAAAUUAGCUAGAAUCGGAACCCUAGUUCAAUAAAUCUCAAAUUGCUUAAUAUAAAUAGAAAAUUAAAGAUAAAUAGACCUCGUAUAACUUGGCUCUGAUACCAACUGAUGUGAAUCGUUGUGGAAAGAUCGUUCUACGAAGGCUCGAAUGGUGUGAAUUGCGAACCUCGACCUCCAAUCAAACCUGUGAUUGGCAAUCUCGGUAUGAACGUAACCUGUUGACAAACACGUGUCAACCAACCAACGUUAUAGACGCCACGAGCGAAAGAAUUCGCUAUCUCGCUCAAUAAGUCGAAUCAACUGCCACAAGAGAAUCUUGAUUAGGUCAAGUUCUCAAAAGAACAGUAAAAGAGAACCUCUCAAUUUUUUUUUUCUUAAAAAUAAAAUAUAUCCGUCCCCCAAAGAAAUUCAGUCAGUCUUAUAUAUAGGCCUUCUAGCCGCCACACAAACUCUAAAACCAACCCUAGAGAUAUAAUGCAUCAUAUUCUAGAAUAUUCCUAAACAAGAAUAUAUAUAUAUAUAUAUAUUUAUAUUUAUAUUUAUAUAUCUAUAUAUAUUUGACUUGGUCAAAUAUUUGGUGACCAGAUAAUCAAAUUGCGCCAAGAUUUCCAAGAUUCUUCAAGAUUUGAUCCAAGGUCACCUCCACACCAAAGAUCACGAACCAUGACGCCAACAGCUUGCCUAUAUUGCUUGGCCCGCACUUGAGUAAUCGAACCAGUAGGAAUAGACAAUGGGUCCCUAGCACCUCCUCCUUGAUAUGGCUCGAUGUCCACAUCAAAAGUCUCAUCUUGGAAUAAUUGUUACGUAGUGGCGACAAACCUAGAAGUUCACCAUCAAACUGUGGCAGGAUGCAGAAAAUGUCUCAACCUUAAAUGAUAGGAAUUGAUGGACCAACCCAUCUUUAUACAUGAUGUGGAUCCUACUGUGUGGCCUCAUUGCUAUAGCCUCCGUAACAAAGGAAUAACCGUCAUGAAUUACCGUUUCUCCAUCUACUACAUAGAAUCAGCUACGGUCUAUCUAAUUAUUUGAAAAUAGACCAUCGAUGCACUCAUUCUCUAAUUUCUAUUAGCGAAUGCUUCGAAAUAAGAAAGAGCAACCCAAUUCAACCACCAGUUAACCCAUGACACACGACUGUUCCCCUAAUGAUGUGAUCAAUGCUAGCGACUCUCCUUGACAAAACUAAAAGUUCCAGCGCCCAUUAUGAAAUGUCACAUUAAACAAUAGUUAUCACUUAGUACUUAUGGCCCCCGAAAAUUUCAGGUUGAUGAGCCCUUACUGUAGGGCCACCAAUAUGCUAACGGCGGAAAAUUUCUCGAUAAAAAGUAUGCAAUAACUAGGUAAUGCAAUACCAGUUGUUUAGAGGUUUGUCUACAAUGAGAAUCAUAUUGGUGACUUCGUCAGAAAUAGGUGAUUGACUCUCAUGUGAUUUGGUUGGAAGAUACUUAGUCAUCCAAUUAUUUAAUUGAAUCACUGAGAGAAAUUCAAAGAAAAGGAAAACAUUGAAAAAAUACUUUAUCUGAUUUAUAAUACAGUUGCUCAAAUCAUUGUAGUCUCUUUGAAUGGUGGAGUGGAGUUCAUGCAUCUUUUCUGAUGGGGACUGAAUUGAGUUCUUUGGUCGACAUUGAUCUUAUGCACGUUGCAACUGAUUUUCUCAUAUUAAGGGUAAGAUCACAACUUGAAUAUUAAAAGUUACAUUAAUUAUUAGGCUUGCAUGUUGCGCAGGAUUAAAGCUAAAGUUCAUUAGUAAGAAUAACUUGCAUAUCAAACUUAACAGACAUUGAUAUCAUGGUUUAAAUUUUCAACCUACACGUGUAACAUACAUUAAACCUAUGUCAAUUGCUUGAAUUUUGUAGUGAGGAUUUUAUUUCCUUACAAUCGACGAACAUAAGAAUGUUGUAAGUUACUUUAAAAAAAAAAACUUAUUUUCUCUAUGGUUCGAAAGUACACUACAUGCCUCAAAAUUGUGGAAUUAUCCAUUUUAAGAAAGCCACUAACUUAUUUGACCCCCCAUCCCCCCUCCCCCCUCCCCCCCAAAAGAAAAAGAAGUCGCUCACUUUAAAUAACAAAUUUCAUAUCCAAAAUAAGGGGCCAAUGGACACUCUUCAACAUUUUUCUUAUAUUGAAGAAUGUUCUUAUAAAAAAUGUUAGUCAACCACGUAAGGAAACUAUUGACAUUGUCAUUUUUGACGUACCAACUUGUUCGCAAAUGUUAGUUGGGUUUACUCUUAUGUGGAAAAAAGCCCAAUGAGUUGCAAGCCUAAAAAGGGCUUGAGCCGAUAUGAUAAGUUAUAUGGAGAAAUAGAGUUUUUCACGAUCUUUAUAAAGUGGUAGCCACAAAAGGAAAUAGUAACAAGAGAAAAAGGAAAAGCAAAAAAUCUAGGGGUUGGAACAAUAUCUGAUUUACAUCAAGCUGACAUCGAAUGUUGAUUCGUGGUUCGAUUGAGCUGAAAUUUUGUCAGAAUGUUUGUGGCGCAAUUUUCUCGAAUUUGAACAGUUUGAUUUUCGUUUGAAGCUCCCUACAUCAAGUUUUUUGGGGAUUGAUCAAAACCUGCAUUUUUUUGUCAGAUUUAUCAUUGAUCUCUUGUGAAAUUCAUGUGUAUUGCCAAGAAUUAUAUUAUUGAGGUCUUUGUUGCUAUGUACUUCUAGUAUUUGCUAGAGAAGAACAUUGUUAAUCCAAUUUUGUUGAUAGUGAAGAUUUUCGAGUGGACUUCGGUCCUGUGGCUUUUUAUCUCCUCACAUCAAGGAGGUUUUCCAUGUAAACAAAUCAUCUUGUGUUCACGUGCUUGGUAUUUAUUUUAUUCUACUAUAUCGAUUCCUAUUAGGUUUACACAAGAGGGGAGAUUAUUUUAUUCCGCUGCGUUGAUUCGAUAUUGUUUGAAUACUGUUCUCCCAUUAGAAUGGUAUCAGAGCAUCUGGUUAUUGCUUGAUUUUUCUGCCUUGUGUUAAAUAAUGAAAACGAAUAUGAGUAGAAUGGUUACAUCGAAUGGUUCAAAUGAUCAUAUUUGGAAAGGGAAGAUGGAAGACCUUUUAUAUGUGAAAGAUUUUUAUUUGCUCGUAUUUGCCGAGGAGAAACUAGAGAAUAAAACUGAUACUGAAUGGUCUAUAUUUCAUUGUCAAGUGUGUGGUUAUAUUAGAUAGUGGGUGGAUGAUAAUGUUUUGAACCAUAUUAUUGAGGAAACACAUGCACGCAGUUUAUGGGAUAAGCUCGAACAGUUAUAUACUUGAAAGAUUGGGAAUAAUAAGUUAUUUUUGAUAAAACAGAUGAUGGCUCUAAGAUAUCAAGAUAGUACUCGUUUGACUGAUUAUUUAAAUUAUUUUCAAGGAAUUAUAAAUUAGUUGGUUGCAAUGGGAAUUAAGUUUGAUCAUGAGAUACAAGCACUAUGGUUGCUUGGUACUUUGCCGAACUCUUGGGAGAUGUUCCGAACAUCUUUGUCUAAUUUUUCCCCAAAUGGUACGAUUACCAUGAAUUUGGCCAAGAGUAGUAUUUUGAAUGAAGAGAUGAGAAGGAAGACACAAUGAUCGUCCUCUUCACAUUAUGAUGCCUUGGUUGUCGAGAAAAUGGGAAGAAAUGAGUCUCGAGGUCUAAGAAAUAGAGAUAAAAGUCGAGAAAAAAGUAGAGGUAAGUAUAAUAAAUUUGCUAAUGUUGAGUGCUAUUAUUGUUAUCAGAAGGGACAUAUUCAGAGGUUUUGUCGCUAGUUAAAAAGGGAGAAACAAAAGGAAAAAUGUAAAGAGAAGAAAAGUGAUAAUGAUAGUGAUGACAAUCGUAUUGCUGCACUUAAAGAAGACUUUCUUAUUAUUUUUUAUGGUGAUGUGGUGAAUUUUAUAUAUCAUGAGACCAAUUGAGUAAUUGAUAGUGGUGCAUCCGUUCAUACUACGUCUCGUAGGGAUUUCUUUAUGUCAUAUAGGUCGGGUGGCUUCGGAUAUAUGAAGAUGGGAAACAAUGGGCUAGCUCAAGCUGUAGGCAUUGGUGAUGUGUGUCUAGAAACCAGCAAUGACAUAAUGUUAAUCUUGAAUAAUGUUAAAUAUAUACUUGAUAUUCGCUUGAAUUUGAUUUCUAUAGGCAAAUUGGAUGAUGAGGGGUAUUGUCGCACCUUCAGUAAUGGUCAAUGGAAGUUCAUCAAAGGUUCUCUUGUUGUGGCUAGAGGUAAAAAAUAUUCUUCGUUGUACAUUAUGUAGACAAAGUUGUCCACGGACAAAAUUAAUGCAGUGGAUAAUGAAUAUGCAACUGAGUUAUGGCAUAAGAGACUCAGUCACAUCAGUGAAAAUGGUUUGUCACUAUUGGCCAAGAAGAAGCUCCUUUCAGGAUUGAAAAGUUUGGCGCUAAAGAAGUGUGCUAACUGUUUAGCAGGAAAAUAGAACAGAGUUACAUUUAAAAGCUCCCCUCCUUCAAGAAAGUCAGGUAUACUGGAUUUAGUGCAUUAUGAUGUUUACAGUCUUAUGAAAACAAAAUCACUUGGUGGCUCUCUUUAUUUUGUUACCUUCAUAGAUGAUUUUUCAAGGAAAAUUUGGAUUCAUACCUUGAAAACUAAAGAUCAAGUAUUAGAUGCUUUUAAGCAAUUUCAGGCUUAAAUUGAGAGACAGUUUUGAAAGAAAUUGAAAUACAUCAUAAUUGAUAAUGGGUGAGAGUAUAUUGGACCUUUUGAUGAAUAUUGUAGACAACAAGGUAUUCGACAUCAAAAGACACCUCCCAAGACGCCUCAGUUAAAUGGCUUAGUUGAGAUAAUGAACAAAUACUAGUUAAAAGGGUAAGAUGCUUACUUUCACAGUCAAAGCUACCUGAUUCUUUUGAGGUGAGGCUUUAAGUACAGUUAUGCAUGUAUUAAAUCUUACUCCAUGCAUUCCUUUAGAGUUUGAUGUUCCUAAUAGAGUUUGGACAAGCAAAGAUAUUUCUUAUGAUUAUUUACGUGUCUUUGGAUACAAAGCAUUUGUGUAUAUUUCCAAAGAUGAGAGGUUUAAACUUGAUGUGAAAACAUGAGAGUGCAUAUUUAUUGGUUAUGGACAUGAUAUGCUCGGCUACAAAUUUUAUGAUCCGGUUGAAAAGAAAAUUGUAAAAGCAUAGACGUUGUGUUUAUGGAAGAUCAAACGAUAGAGGAUAUUGAGAAAGUAGAGAUGAUUUCAACACGGCGGGUUAGUGAUAACUUGGUUGAUUUGGAUCCAGUUCCUCUUACAAAUAUUCCCACAUAGGUUGAUGAAAGCAGGAAGUCAAUGGUCCAAAUAACGCACAUGGUCCUGAACAUGUUGAAACAGAUAAUAAUAUUCCUGAACCAGAGACUCAAUUAGAUGUUCCACUGGAUGUUCCAAUCCGGAGAUCCGUUAGAGACCGACGACCUUCUACUAAGUAUUCUAAAGAUGAGUAUGUAUUAUUGACUGAUGCAGGUGAACUAGAGUGCUAUGCAAAAGCAAUAGAAUAUGAGUACAAAAGCAAUUGGUUUAAUGCUAUGCGAGAUGAAAUGUAGUCACUUUAUGAUAAUCAUACUUUUGAGUUGGUGAAGUUACAUAAAUGUAAAAGAGCUUUGAAGAACAAGUGGGUAUAUAGAUACUUCACAACCAUGAUACAAAACUAGAUUGGUUGUUAAGGAAUUCGGUUAGAGAAAUGUUAUUGAUUUUGAUGAUAUAUUUUCUCCAGUAGUGAAAAUGUCUUCUAUCUGUGUGAUACUAGGCUUGAUAGUUACCCUAGAUUUGGAAAUUGAACAAAUGGAUGUUAAAAUAGCCUUCCUACAUGGUGACUUGGAGGAAGAGAUAUACAUGGAACAAUCUGAGAGCUUUAAGGUGAAAGGAAAAGAUAAUUAUGUGUGCAAAUUAAAAAAAAAAGUCUUUAUGGCUUAAAACAAGCAUCGAGACAGUGGUACAAAAAGUUUGCGUCAGUUAUAACAGAAUAGGGCUAUAAGAAAACUUCCUUGGAUAAUUGUGUGUUUGUCCAAAAUUUUUUAUGAUUAUGACUUUAUUAUUCUCUUGCUUUAUGUUGAUGAUAUGCUAAUUUUUGGUAGGAAUGCUUCAAGAAUUGAGUUAUUGAAGAAACAGUUGAGCAAGUCUUUUGCCAUGAAAGACUUGGACUCAAUGAAGUAGAUUCUCGGCAUUAGAAUUACCCGAGACAGAGAUGCUAAUAAGUUGUUUUUGUUGCAAGAGAAAUAUAUCAAGAAGAUACUUUAUAAAUUUUACAUGGACAAGGCUAAAGUGGUUAAUACUCCUCUUGCUGCCCACUUUAAGUUAAAUAUGAAGCAAAAUCUUACGACCGAUAAAGAGAAGAAAGAUAUGGAAAUUGUUCCAUAUGCCUCAGCUAUAGGAAGCUUAAUGUAUGCGCUAGUAUGUACAUGCCCAGACUUGGCGCACGCAGUUGGCGUUGUUAGUCGCUCUUUGUCAAAUUUAGGUAGAGAGCAUUGGAAUGCAGUGAAGUGGAUUAUGAGGUAUCUUCGAAUAAACUUCAAAUUUGAAACUUAGUUUCGAGACCAGGAAACUUGAGUUAGUUAGAUACAUAGAUUCUGACUUGGCAUGAGAUAUUGAUAAUCAUAAAUCUACUUUUGGUUAUUUGAUUUCUUUUGUGGGUGAAGCUGUGUCAUGGAAGUCAAGAUUGCAGAAGUGUGUUGCACUUUCUCUAACCGAAACUGAAUUUAUUGCAGCGACUGAAGCUAGUAAAGAGAUGCUAUGGAUGAAGAAGUUCUUAGAAGAAUUUGGGUUCAAGUAAAAGAGGUAUGUGUUAUUUUGUGAUAAUCAAAUCGCAAUUCAUCUUGGUAAGAAUUCAUCUUUUCAUUUUAGAUCGAAACAUAUUGAUAUUUGAUAUCAUUGGAUAAGGGAUGUUCUAGAUCAGAAGUUGUUGGAACUUUGGAAAAUUCAUACAAAUCAUAAUGGCUCUGAUAUAAUGACGAAGACUGUACAAAGAGAGAAGCUUGAACAUUGCCAAUUGAUAGCAGGGAUGGUGAAUCCCUCCACAUUUUCGUGAGGGGGAGAAUUAUUAGCUGAAUUCACUCCUAUGUGGAAGAAGCCCAAUGAGUUGCAAGCCCAAAAAAGGUUUGAGUCCAUAUGAUAAGUUAUAUGGAGAAAUAAAGUUUUUCACUAUCUUUAUAAAGUGGUAGCCCAAAAGGAAAUAGUAACAAGAGAAAAAGAGAAAGCAGAAAAUCUAGGGGUUUGGGCAAUAUCUGAUUUAUAUCAAGCUGGCAUUAGAGGUCAAUUCGUGGUCCGAUUGAGCUGAAAUUGUGUCAGCAUGUUCGUGGCGUAAUUUUCUCGAAUCUGAAUGGUUUGAUUUUCGUUUGAAGCCCCCUACAUUAGGUUUUUCGUGGAUUUAUCAAAAAUUGUGUUUUUGGUCUGAUUUAUCCUUGAUCUAUUGUGAAAUUCAUGUGUAUUGCCAAUAAUUUUGUUCUUAAGGUCUUUGCUGCUAUGUACCUCUAGUAUUUGCUAGAGAAGAACAUUGUUUCAAGAAGUUAUGGUUAAAGAAAUCAUCCAAACAUGGCCACAAGAACUUCUGAAGAAAGAAGAAAUUGAGAUAUCUAUGCAAAAGGAAAGAUCGUACAGGCCAUAAGAAGUCAAACCAAUGCUUCAUCUGCAAUCAAAAAUGACAUUUUGCCAAAAAUUGUCCCCAAGCUAGAAAAGGUCAGCAUCAUUUGAUACAUCAAAUUGAGAAUGAAACAUGUAUUUCUCUUGAAAAUAAUGAUAUCGAAUCACUAUUCUCUACUGAUGAAGAACUAUCUGAACAAACUCUUUGUGUCAUUCCAUAUUAUCACACUUCUAGUGAAACUGAGUCAGAUUCGGAGUCUGAAGAUAUUUUUCACAUAUCACCCACAUCUCCAGAACCAAGCCUUAACAUAUUUUCAAGCCAAACUCACUGUCCCAAUUUCCCUGUAAAAAUCAUCACCUCAAAGUUUGCCAAACCAAUCACUGUUAUUGCUCUCAUUGAUACCGGAGCAAGUUGUUCAAUCUUGGAUACCAAAGUUCUCCCUGAAAAAUACUGGGCUCCUUAUGUCUGAUAUUUCAACUCAGCUUGAGGAGAUACUUUCUCCACAAAUGUUAGAACUACUCCCGUACUGUCCAAUUUUUCCCCAGUGUUCCAUAACCACAAAAAUCUUUGGAUCCAAUCUUUCCAACAAAGACUUAAUCAUUGGUUGGGAUAUCAUGACUCAAAUCUUUCAGCUUCGUAUCAUUCCUAGAAAAGGUCUUAAGUAUAAAGACCAAUUCUCUGAAUUCGUUAAUAUCCAGAGACUCUUUUCCAUUCAAAUGAGUUUGUUAGACCCAAUCAAGCAGAAAUUAUUAGAAUCUUGUUCAGAAUCCCAUUCUGAAUUUGCAUAAAAGUGUUCUCACCCUUUAUGGGAAAAUCCAGAAUACUUUGUCCGCCUUCCAUUCAAAAGGAAUGAAGACAUCAAUCCUACAAAGGCGAGUUAUAUGGGAAUAAAGCCAGAACACUUAGCUUCAGCUCAAAGGGAAUGCUCAGAACUAUUGCAACAAGGCCUUAUUGAAAUCUCCAAAUCUCAAUGGGCUUGUAAAGCCUUCCAUGUCAACAAACGUACUGAGCAGAAUAGAGGAAAAAUGAGACUGGUAAUCAAUUACCAACCCCUUAACCUUUUCCUUCAAGAUGGUAAAUUCCCUUUACCAUCUAGAAAUUCUCUUUUUAUUGGAUUAUCCAAGGCCCACAUCUAUUCCAAAUUCAACCUCAAAGCCGGAUUUUGGCAAUUGGGCAUUCAUCCUGAAGACAGACCAAAACAGGGUUCUGUAUCCCAAACCGGCACUUCCAAUGGAAAGUUCUUCCUUUUGGCUUAAAACUAGCACCAUCCCUUUUCCAAAAGGCCAUGUGUAGAAUUUUCCAACCAAUCCUGUCAAGUGCAGCAGUAUACAUUUACGAUAUCCUUCUCUACAGCCUUGAUGAGCAGUCUCAUUGCCAACUUCUCGAGCAGUUUGCAGAAAUCAUGAAAAAGCAUGGCAUCAUGCUUUCUAAAAAAAAGAUGAAUAUUGCUCAGACAGAGAUUGAAUUUCUUGGUAUACACCUGAACAAAUGUACAUACUACUCAGGGCCACAUAUUGCUCAAGAAUUAUUGAAGUUUCCUAAAGAUAACUUCACGACAAAGCAAGUUCAGCAAUUUCUUGGGAUAAUCAAUUAUCUCAAGGAUUUUGUCCAAAAUAUUGCAAAACUUCUAAUUCCUUUGCAAUCCAUGCUGAAGAAGAAUCCCCCACCUAGGGGAAAAGUUCAGACUAAAGUAGUAGCAGAACUUAAGGAGAUUAUGUAGAAUCUCCCACCAUUGCAAAAGGAUCUACCUUGUCAAGGGAAUUUGUACAAUAUGAACAUUGGCGAAAAGGAUCCCAGAAACAAUGACCAUACUAAGCAUUGUAGUAAUAGACAGGAUGUCCAUCACUAUUGAAAUGUCAAACAAGCUUUUUUGGGUCUGGCUCGAAAAUUGAUUCAGGAACACAUGGUUCAAUCAUAAAGAGGGUCUAGAAGAUUGAAGGACUUUCUUCCUUUUCCUUGCCAAGCUUGAUGGAAAUAGUUCCAUCUUUUUUCCGGACGAACUCAGAGUCCGUAGACUAGAAAGGCUUGUUAUGCUGGUGUAGCUUUUCAUAGUUGGUGAUCCAAGUCUCUGGAAGGAGCUUAGCCAAUAUGUCCUUCGGGAUCUGUCUAGGAACAUGGAUGCAGGAUGCCUGAUCAUUCUGCAUGGAGAUAAACAAAGCAUCUUCGUUACCAUUGUUAAAGUUUAGAUCAAGAGCAUGGUUCUGCAUUCGAUAAACUAUCUGGUAAUGUAGUGUUGUCGCUACAGAGUCAGCAAUUUGAGGGGCUCCAGUGAGCUGGACUUGGACUUUUAAAAAAGAAAGUAGUUGGGGGUCUAAAAGAGCGAUGUUGAAGUUUGGAUACAAAUUCACAAAUAUCGUUCCAGCAUUUAAAGUUUUUUGAAUAGUACUGAUGUAAGUAUGCUGGUAUUGUAAAAAUCAAUGCUAUGAAGAAGUUCGAGACAAUAGUUCCAAUUAUUCCUCUGAUUGGAUCAUUGUCUAAAGCGAAUUUUUGUGACACAUUAGGGCAUCCCAUUAGUAAACCGACCCGGGCUGAUUCAUCAGAUUCUGAUAUUAUCGACCGUUUUUUGCGUAUAUCCAGAAAUCUUUCUCAUUAUGCAUCCAUUUCAAGGGGGUGCAACACUUCUCAGUUUGGGCCUCAUAUUUAUCCUAUAUACCAUGUUCGUAUGGUGGCGUGAUGUUCUACGUGAAUCCACGUUGGAAGGACAUCAUACCAAAGUCGUACAAUUAGGACCUCGAUAUGGUUCUAUUCCGUUCAUCGUAUCGGAGGUUAUGUUCCUUUUUGCUUUUUUUUUUCGGGCUUCUUCUCAUUCUUCUUUGGCACCUACGGUAGAGAUCGGAGGAUUGGGGUUUUAGAUCCUCGGGAAAUCCCUUUUCUUAAUACCCCUAUUCUCCUUUCAUCCGGAGCUGCCGUAACUUGGGCUCAUCAUGCUAUACUCGCGGGGAAGGAAAAACGAGCAGUUUUGAUUAUCAUAAUAAUAAAAGUGAAAUAUAUUGAAAUUUUUUGCGAAAAUUGUCGAAUCCAGUAUCCAACAACGCAAUUCUUGCCACAACUGGCAAACCUUUACGACCAUGAAAGGUGAGAGCAAGACGAACAACACCAUAAUAAACAUGAGUAUAUCCCUGUUGGGUCCAUUGUUUGGGAAAUUCUUGAGGGAUUUGAAGAGUAACAAAAUACUCCUUUUCAGUAGCAGGAAUGGGGGUGCUGGUUGAAUUUGGAGGACUGAACGUACUCCUUUACUUGCUUUGGGGUUUGGUGAAUAAGUUGACGAAUGGAGCGGAUGGGUGAAAAUGAUGAGGUGGGUUUAGCAAAAGCGGAAUAGGGGUUCAUAAGAGGAAGUUGGGUUUCGGAAAUCUUGGUUUCAUCGCUAAGAGAAACUUCAUAAAGAUAAUUGAUCUCAGAAGUAUUGGAAACACGAAAUUCGGAAGGGGUUGAAGAUGAAUGAGAUGGAGCAAGAGAAACGGGUGCUUCAAGGAUUUCUAGUUCUGUAGACAUGAUGUAAAGAGAUCUUUUCAGCACUAGAUUCACCUACCAAGCGCAUGGAACGGAUAAUAUUACAAACGAAACCAUCGCUCUAAUACCAUGAAUGGACCUAAACUUAGAACCAGGGAGGACGAAGUCAAUUUUCUGCAAGUAUGCAUUCCCAUAGUGGGUGAACAACUCCUGUUCAAGCCCUUCAGGGACAACCUUUUAGCAGAAAACCACUCAGCCUUUUAGGUUAGAGCCUAGAGACACUCAAAGAUGCCAGGAUGGAAAUAUUUCUAAUUAUGAAUGGACCUAGAUUUAGAACUAGGGAGAACGAAGUCAAUUUUCUACAAGUAUGCCUUCCCACAGUGGGCGAACAACUCCCGUUCAAGCUUUCAGGGACAGCCUUUUAGCAGAAAACCACUCAGCCCUUUAGUUCAAAGCCUAGAGACACUAAGAGAUGCCAGGAUAGAAACGUUUCUAAUUCAUCUGAACUGCAUUUCUCAGAGGAUCCUACCAGGCUGGAGAAGAAGAGGAGUUUAGAAAGUCAUAGAGAGGUUUUCGAAGAAAUUGAUGGUAAGAGACACCUCUGUGCUCACAAAAGUGGAAAUUUUUCUCAAGCUAAAAUGCACUACCAUUCCACUUUUAAAGAAACCUUGGCAGUAAAAAAUGGAAUAAAAAAGUUUGAAUUCCAUCUCAUCGGUCAUCACUUCUUGGUAAAAUUAGACAUGGCAUCUUUCUCUCAGAUAACCAAGUUUAAACAGAAGCAGAUCCCAAAUUCUCAACUGCUUCGAUGGGUUGAAUGGUUUUCAAAAUAUUCUUUUGAAACCAAACACAUUCCCGAAAAGAAAAAUGUGCUUGCUGAUUUUUUGUCAAGACCAAAGGCACCAGCUGAAAUCAACAUGUACAUCAAGAGACCUGCUUUUCAUAUACUCAAUCACGGCGUAAAAUACAAGAUUGAGAAGAUCAAAGAUUUACCAAGCUGGAAAUAUCCCUAGGAGAUUAUUCAACAAAUCCAAAAUGACAGUCUCAUGGAGAACCUUGGAAAUCUCAUGUGGCAAUGCCACACAGACCUGUUCAGAGACAAUGGAGCUUCGAUUCUUUAUCCUUUUAGGCUAAAUUCAGAUUAUCUAUUCAUACAUCCUUUUAUCUGGAAGGAAGAUGAUUUCAAUGAUCAACUCAAGAUGUUAUUAUGGUACUUAACCUAUAAGUACUUAAUAGCUAUUGAAAUUCCAACUAGAAGAUUCAUUACCAACCUCACCAGGAUAUUCUUACUCGGAAGAAACAUCGAAAGAGAAAGUGAUAAGAAUCUCUUAGACUUUCUCAAUUGGUUCUAUCCUCCUACUCACUAAAAACACCUCUUGGAAAAAGAAUUGAGAACCAUGACACCAAAUCCUAAAGUCCAUACCAUCUUGUUUUUCCGACGACCAUGGUAUUUUUUCAGAAAUAAUGACAGCAUUAUCAAUGCCCCACAAGAUAUAGGAACCACAUCUUAUAAACCUCACUUGGACAGUCGAGAAGAUUGGAUUCACAAAUCUUAUCUAGGACCUGUUAAAUGUUCUGAACAUCAGUACCGAGAAUUCCAGAGAAUUUUGUGCUAGGAGAACAAGACCAUUCCUGAAGAUGCAUGGAAUUAUAAUGUAUCCACUGCAUGGGAUCAUUAUGACCUAGCACCAGAAGCUAAGGAAACAUUCAUGCAAUGUAGACAAGCUGCAUCAUCUCAAGAUCAUGAAAUGACAAGUGCAGAUGAUAUUGUCCAAUCUACUCAAGACCCCUACCUAUGCACAUUAAGGAGGUCCUCUUUCUCAAGAUCCCUAUGAUCCAGGACCUUUGUCCUUAUCUCAAAGCAUGGACAUGUUCUUUUAUGCACAGCCGUCCAAUUGGCCUCAGCUAAGCAUUCCUGCCGACACUUCAAGAGAAUACACAAACUAGGCCGAAGAAGAAGCAUCCCACUGGGCUCACGAAGAAGCAUCCUCAUCACAUCAGCUGAAUCAGAUCCUCUCACUAGAAGACCUUGAAGCCCUUGAACAAAAGUAUGAUGAACAUUGCCUAGCGACAAUACACAGCUCGGAUGACUCCGACUAUGACUACAAUACUGGUAUGGAUGAGACCGCUGAGUUCGUACAAUUUCACUGUAGCAAGCUACUGUUCACUUUUUACUGUAGCAUUAAGUUAGGGAAAGUACUGUUCACAAUCACUGUUCAUAGCAUGCAAAUAAUUCCCUCCCGGAAGUUUCUGGUGCCUUUGUUUGUUCCAGGACCCAUGUGCAUGGUCCUUGUAUGUUUGUAACCUCUUAUUGUCUAUAUAAGGCAAGGAGGGUGUAAUGUGUUGAGCAGAAUCCCCAGAAGUAAAGUGUGUGCUUUAUGAAAAACUUCUCUAUGGCUUUCUAAACUCAUUUUCUUCUCUAGCAUGGUAGGAUCCUCUGAGAAAUGCAGCUCGGGUGGAUUAGAAACAUUUCCAUCCUGACAUCUCUAAAUGUCUCUAGGCUUUGAACUAAAUGGCUGAGUGGUUUUCUGCUAAAAGGCUAUCUUUAAAGGGCUUGAACGGGAGUUGUUUGCCCACUGUGAGAAGGCAUACCUUCAGAAAAUUGACUUCCUCCUCCCUGGUUCUAAGUCUAGGUCUAUUCUAAGAUUUUCGAGUGGACUCCGGUCUCGUGGUUUUUUUAUCUCCUCACAUUGAGGAGGCUUUCCAUGUAAAAAAAUCGUAUUGUGUUUACGUACUUGGUAUUUAUUUUACUCUACUAUAUUGAUUUCUAGGUUUACACAAUAGGGUGAUUAUUUUAUUCCGCUGCGUUGAUUCGACAUUAUUCGAAUUGUUACUGUUCUCUCAUCAGAAAAUUCAACCUUUAUGUUAUGAAUACACAUAACGAGAAGUGUCUCUAGGACAUAGUUAACAUGAACCGAUAUUCAUUUUAAUAGGAGAAUUACUAAAAAAAAAAGUCAUAAUCUAUUGUAAUUGUGUUAAUUAAGUUAUAUUUUUUUUGCCGAUUCAAUCCUAAAACUUUUACAAUUAUGCCAAUUCAGUCUAUCCUAUCAAUUUUGACCAACUGACGCUAACAUAGAUAAUUUUUAACAAUAUUUUAUUUUCUUUGAAUUUUUUAUUAAUUUUUUAAUUUUCCUUUUCUUUUUUCUCUUCUUCCUUCUUUUGCUUCUUUUCCUAUGGUGGCUAGUGAGGGUUCGAUGAGAGCUUCACGGCCCUUGCAGGCCACUGUGGGAGAAAAAAUGGAAGAUAAGGAAGAGGAGAAAAAAAAGAUAAGAAAAAAGAAAAAAAUUAGUAAUUAAUAAAAUUUUUGGUCGAAAUUAAUAAAAUAAAAUUUUCUUAAAAAUAAAAUAUGAUAAACAAAUUUUCUAGGUGUACAUCGAUUGAGCGAUCAGCAUCCUCGUCAGCAUUAGUUACAGGCAGACCAAAAUUGACUGGAUGGAUUAAAUUAACACUAUUGUAAAAUGUUGAUGACUAAAUUGGUAAAAAAGAAAAAAAAAGAAAUUUAUGAUUGCAUUAAUACAAUUAUAAUAGGUUUAUGAUUUUUUAAUAAUUUUCUCCUAUUUAAUUAAGGGAUAAAGAAGAGGCAAGAUCAUCCUUAAUUUAUGUUUCUAACCCUCCAAGAUAAUCACAAAUAAGAGGUGGAAUAAUAUUUCUUUUACGGCAAAGGUUGGCAUCAUUGUUUGGAAUUGAAAUUGAGAUACUCAAGGCGACUUUUCACGAAUCGGAGAGAUCCAUAUGCAAAUUUUCCACAUAUUUUUCUACUCAUGCGCACAAUUUUCCUUUGCAAUCUUGUUCUUUUGAUUUCUUAGUGUCAAACUACAUAUUGUCCAAUAUCCUAUGUCACUUCAUUUUAACUAAUACACAACACGACACCUCUGUGACAUGCUCGAACAAAAUUAUCUAUAAAUGCACCUUAACCACAUAAUGACAAUGGAAAAACAUAUUUUCUUAGACAUUUAGUUAGUUAAGGGUUAUUCAAUGUAGAAUUAUCAAUGCUCAAACUAAAUAUUAGCACAGAUCCUUUCAGACAUGCUUAUGGUAAUUAUAUAUCUUUUAAGAAAAAUAGAAAUUCAUAAAACCCACCAAAAUAAGACAAAAAUUAAAUUUUCCCCCUUUACGUUAGUGUUCAACGACCUUUAAUUUUGUAAAAGCGUAUCUUUUAAAACAAAAGAGAAUACCUGAGAAUCUAAAUUCAAAAGUACUUUAUAGAUUAGAAUCGAUCUAGUGUGCAAGAAGAUUCCAAAUGCUCUCUUUUUUUCUUUUUUUCAAAGUGGAAUAUAUUGUGUUUUUGGGAAAAUUGUCCAAAAAGUACUAAGUCAAUUGCAAUUAUACCAAUUGAGUCUUGAAUCUUAUAAUUUUUAAACCUUUUCAUGUUUAAUCAAUUGAGUCUAUCUGAUUGAUUUUGGCCGAAAAUCGUUGACGACUGCUAGGGACCCUUGCUUGGUCUGGGUGAGGCCAUGAACCCCUCACCUAGGGGUGUGGCUAGUGAGGGUGUCCUAGUCCUUGCCCAAACCAAGUGGGGGUUGCUGACCCCCACUUGUGACUAGUGAUGGUUGGUCAGUGAACUCACUAACCAGAGUUGGAAAAACAAGGAAGAAAAGAAAACAAUAAAGGAAAAAUAAUAAGUGAAAUAAAAAUUCAAAAUACAAAAAAAAAUAUUUAAAAUAUUAUUACAAAUUAUCGAUAUUAAUCCCAACUAUGCCAUAUAAGAUAGACACCAUUCAUAUUAGCGAUUUCUAGCUAAAUUUGGCUAAUAGAUUCAAUUGGCAAUAUUAAAAAAUUUAGAACUGAAUUGACAAUAGUGUAAUAUUACAUUUACGAUUUUUUGGAUAGUUAAUAAAAAAAUUCAAUUACAAGGAUAUAUUAUGUACUCCAUUCCAUUGCAGCAACACAAAUUAAGAAAAAUUAAUAAGAUCUUCUAAUUUUAAUACUCUGUACUCGAUAUUGCAACUUUAAAAUUUUCCUAAAUCAAAUCUUGCCACCAUACAAUUAACGAUGCCCAAGUUUUCUUUACAGUUAUUAGGAAAAAAGAAAAAGGACUUGCUCCGAAUCAAUUCAUACGCUGCCCCAUCUAUGAGAGAUAAACCCAUUUGAAACUUUCCCAUAGUUUUUUUUCCAAAAAAUAAAUAAAAAUUUUCCUUAAAAAGUCAUCGUUGUUGAAAACAGGCGGACCACCGGCAAUUCUUAAUCAGCACCAAAAUAAUUUGGAUCCUUUCUUUCCUUUUUUCCAAUAAAUGUGCCAACCUAUUCAAUCAUGAUAAAAUUAAUCCCUUCAUGAAUUUUAACAAACCUUAUUAUUUCAAAAAAACAAGUUCCGAAAACAAAACGUCUUUGUUCAACCCAUCCUUUUCUUCCGUGCAACCUUUACCUUAUGCGCACAUGCGUUUAUAACUUUUCAACCCAUGAAAUUUUCCCGACGAAUUGAAUCCGAAUUUUGUGAAUGUGCAAAAAAAAAAAAAAAAAAAUCAAUGGGGCAAUUAAAAAAAAUGAUGGACGGAUAAUAAAUAAUCGCCGUAGAAAAGGCCUCAAUCUGAUUGGGCCUGUUCCGUUCAUCUAGAUUACUGUGGCCGAAGCCCAUAGAUAUUAAUCUAAUUUGGCCCAUUCUAUUUGGGCUCCAAACUCAGCCCAUUAGUUUGGCCAGUAAAACAAGUGGAGCCCAUCCUCCAUCCCCUUUGUUAUUUCACUCUCUCUGGAAGGACAGACGAACACCCAAGGGGCGACGCCCGCGAGCAAGAAAUCCGCCGUCCGCCGGCCAGUCAGCGGCAUUCGCCGACGACGGCCUUCCACCGUUUGUACACAUCCUUCCGCAUUCGCGCUUUUCCUCCGUUGUUUCCGAAGGGUGUCCGGGGCAUCAUCGAUCACCGCCCGUCUUCAAGUUUCUAAAGGCGCAGCAGUUGCAGUGCUCUGCAGCGUCGACCCACCGGCGACGACUUUCUUGGGAAUCCCGGUUCUCAGUUCGAUCGGGGGUGCUCCUGGUCAUGGCAUCUACCAGGUACGAGAGUAGAUUCUCAAUGUUAAUAUGGGUAAUCGAGUCUGAGAAAUGUGGUCGAGGCCCAUGUGAAAUUCGUCUCUGGUUAAAGCUUCAUCAGUGUUUCGAAUGUGCAUUGACCCUGUGGUGAUGACCUGAUAGUGAUUCUUGGCCUCUUACGUGAGCGGAAGUUCAUUACUCGAAUUCCAUGCCACUUAUUCGAUGAAAUGUCUGAGAGAAAUCGGAAUGCAUGUUCUCUGAAGGAAACGAGUGCAAGGAGGCAUCUGUUGAUGUGAUUUGUGUGAGAUACGCAGAUUCUUUAAAUAUUAAACCUGAUUUAAUUGCACAAUGAGGUAGCCGAAAGUCUUCCUGAUCCUUUUCCAUUCUGAUUUUCUAUCUCUCUUGUCGGAUUCUGCUUUGAACUUAGUAUGACAAGAAACUGGGCAGAGCUCCCACAAGAGUUGUUACAACUAUGUUCCCAGCGCCUUUGUCUGAAGAAUUUAUCGGCGUUCCGAGCAGUGUGCCGUUCGUGGCAAUCUGCGGCUGUCAAAGAGAGGAGCGAUGUCCCAUGGUUGAUGCUCACAGACAAAAAGGGGAUGCCGUGGCGUGAGUUUUUCUGCCUCUCAUGUCAGCAGGUUCACAAAAAGCUGUUGCCAGAAGUGAUGGCGAAUGGAUAUUUCUCUUCGCGAGGUUGGGUGUUGAUGACCAGCAGAGAUGGGGAAUUCCACAUGCUAAAGAAUCCCAUGUCGCGUUACAGUCAUAUUAUUAAGCUUCCCAAUUGGAAUAAGUUCCCCAACAUCGAAGAUUUGCCUUUCUUUGAUGUUGAAUUCGUCCGUAAGUUCGUCCUAUCUGAUAGCCCUACUACAUCUCCAGAUUACAAGGUCAUGGUCAUGUAUGACACUGGACAGUUAGGGCUUUGGAAACCCAGUGAAGAGGAGUGGACGGCAGUGAACUCCCCCACAGAUGAAUUUUACGACGUCAUAUAUUAUGAGGGAUCCUUUCUUGCUGUCGAUUCUGAGGAUAGGGUAUUGAGGUGCGAUGUGGAUGGACCAACUCCGUUUGAGGCUCAAGUAGUUUUCCAGGUGCCGCAAAGACUCCAAGAUUUCGAGCAUGAGUACCCCUCAGAAUCCCUUUGGGAUUUGGAUCAAGUGUAUCUAGUGCAAUCAACGACAGGAUCUCUGUUGUUUGUGUCAAAAUGGGAACAACUAACAUCUACCAUAACCUUUCGAUUCCGUGUUCUUGAGAUUGACCUGGAUACUCAAACGUGCACAGAAGUUGAGAACUUGGAGAACACAUCCCUCUUCUUGGGCUACACAAAUUCUUCCUUCUCUUUGGAGGUCGAUGAAGAUCAUCUCAUCAAGCCAAAUUGUAUUUAUUUUACUUACUUUUGGCUCUCAUCGUCCCAGUUUACUGAAGAUGGAGUAGACACAGGCAUGGGAAUAUACCACCUCGAAGAUGGUACGGUCGAGCUGCAUGUCAAGGGGAAAUCUUCUCCUCCGCUUUGGAUCGAACCAUGCUUUUAAGCCAUAGCUAAAAAGUUUGGCUUGUUGUCAAUGAUGAAGUGAGCAGAUUAGUGGAAUCAAGCGAUAGAGACACAGUUAGUCCAAAAAGUUAGCAAUUCAUUUUAUAAACAUGAAAUUGUUAGGUCAUUGGAAGUAAAAUUGUACUGACAUCUGAAUUUGUGCUUUCAAUGCUUCGAAUUUUACAUUUAAUAUUGACGAUAUUUUGGUAUUAGCUGUCUGGAUGUCUGUUCUACACAAAAACAAAAUAGAGUGAAGGCAAACAUUGGGUUUGAACUUUGAACAAGGAAAAAAUGAAGGGUUGAAAAUAAUAUUGAUUCCUUCAGUGGGGUUAACUAUUUUUCUUCUCUUUUUAUUCAUUAGGCCUUACAUUAGAUCCACAGACCACAAGGAAUUCUGCAAGAACGUUACUCGCAUGAAAGGGGGAUAUUCAACUGGAUUAUCUGAAUCUCUACACUACACAUUUCAAGUGAAAUACAUUUUCUAGUAACCAAUGAAAAGCAAAUCAUUAUGGCCACUGAAAUUAGUAAAUAUCCAUGUUGUUGAUAAGGAUCUCGCCAAUCUUGAAUGAUUAAUUGCAAUGUUUAUAUAUUUGAUUCAAUGAACAUUUUGUGCUUCGAUUCUUUUCAUAUAGCUAAGUUCUAGCUAUGACGUGUAAAUAUCCUAGAAUUUGUUAAGGCUUCCUCCACAAAUUGGAGCUGUAACCACGAACAUAGGUUAGGGCGUCUAAGUUGAUUGCCCUGAUUGGCCGUUAGAUGCUUAAGUCGUAGUUUGGAGAUGGUGGAAACUAAUGAAGUUUAGAUAGGGGUAAAAAGUUCUUGUCCGUUGGGUGAGGAUUGACAGAUGAUGACCAAACUAUAAGCAUCGAUCGGUCAUAAUAAAUGGCAACACAUCAUGACAACUAAGGUAUGCGUUGACAUGUGACGGUCAAACUGUCCACAGGGCUAAUAGAUGCUUAGUCUUUUAAUAAUUCCUCCAAAAUGAUAGCUUAAGUGGAGGUCUCGUCGAUGUACCUCCUGCCAAGUUGACCGGUCUUGACUUGGUCUUGACUCAAAAUCCGAGUUGCAUCCUUUCAUCAGGUGGGGUUACCAUGGACACUUGACGGUCUAGUGACUUGCCAACUCCAUCAUUAUUAGAAACAAUCGAAAGUCAUUUAUUGAUAACACUAGAGUAAAGUACCGGAGUCAAAGUAAAACGUGGAUGAAUUGGCAACCGCAAAUGCUGUUGAUUAAUAUUGUUAUAGUGAGAAUGGUCAAAUAGUAUCUUAUAUAACUAAUAACAGCAUAACUUACAAAUUGCUCUCUACCUUAUAUGAGCAUCUGCAACAGGGGAUGAUACCUGAUCUCUCCACCAGCUAAACUUAUGCGGUCACAACAAAAACUCAAAAACCCAAAAGCUUUUCCUCUUCAUUGGCCCCGCUUACAAGAAACAUAAACUGCACUUACAGGAAUUGCAAUGCAUGGAUGCUCUCACAGAUGUUAUCCUUAAACUGAGAGAUAGUAGGUUAACGCUGGACGCCUCUUUGGUAGACCUAGAAUUUUCUCAAAAAGAAAAGGAGUGCAAAGCAUAUGAGCAUGAGUGUGCUCUCCACUUAUUACGACACUAAUUAUGCGGAAAUAGCUACACAUGCACGAGAGUCUUGCAUUUGAUGGAGAGCCUUUGAUCAUUUCGUUGCUGAACCACAAACAUGAGAAUGCAAGGGACCUUCCAGUCACCUCUCUCUCAUGGAAGCAACCAAAUUAGGAGUUUACAUAAGGCAAUGUACAUGAAAGUCAACUGCUUUGUCUUAGAUACCUAUUGUCUAAAUCAUUCAUUAGGUAUAAAAUACUCAAUUGUGUCUCUCUAGCACUUGCCUAUCAUCUAUUUCUUAAUAGAACAAAAGGGGGGGAACGUGCAACAGAAUAGAUAAUGUAGAUGUCUUCUGCAAAUCCCUUCACUUAGCUGACACAAUACAAGGAAGUAACAGAACCGAGGAACUCACCUAAAAGCAGUAGCUCUCAUUCCAUGGGAUGCUCAUUUUAAGCGUGUAACCUUUAUCAAUUGUGGGAAGUACCCAAUCACACCAAUGCCUCCCAAAUCCUGCACAUCGGUGAGGACUAAAAAAAAAAGAUCUCAGUUCUCAAACCAUUGGUAAAAGUGAAGCAAUGUUUACACAAGAAGAAUCUCGAAAACGAGUCCUCUUUAUUACUUGCUUCACGAGCGGAUAUAAGGCAAACAAAAAAAUGGCUUCACUGAUAAUUACGAUAAUCACUAAACUACGGCUAAGGACUUCACUUUCAUGGCACUCACUAGUCACCAUGAUAGGUGGGUUAUGCAAAGCGAGUCAAUCAAGCAUAAUGAUUUGUAAGGAAUAACAAACCCGUAAACAACACAACUUGUUUCGGCUUAUCUAUGGUAGCUAGUUUCUAUUGAAGCCUUUCAACUCGAUCUUGUGGAAAAAGGAAUAAGAAAAGGUAAAGAAAAAGAAGAGUGAGGAAUCAGAAGUCAUCACUGAAUUAUUGCCAAAUCAUAAAUACAGCUUUUACAAGUAAAUUUCAAAUCAAUGUGUUCAUGUCAACAGAGAAUUGUUAAAGGAGACACACAUGGUCAUAAAACUAUCAUAUCAUAAUGAUGAAAGAAUGGAAAAAACCUCUAAGAACUAUAACUCAUAUCAUCAAAAGAUGAUCCUUAAUAGUAGAAAUACACCCUUUAACUAGAUGUCCACUCAUAGCAUAUAUUGUAGAGGAGAGCUUACAAAAAUUUGACACUAAUAAACUGACAACAUGAGAAACCAGAAAAUAACUGCUCUGGUCAAACUCAAGAAGUAAAACAUACCUUGAAUGAUUUGGAACAACGAAUGGAGGUAUCUAUCCAUAACGACGUGGAAUAGGACUUCUCAGCUUCAUCAAACUAUUCCAUUGCCAUGAGAGCAUCACCUUGACAAAUAUAAGCUGGAUGAAAGAAAGAACGUUUGCUUUAAAAAUAUAACAUGAGCAAAAAUUCUUACCAAUAUAGGAAUCUCUCUUUCCCACUCUAUUGCUGGUCCAAAACCAUUGAUGUAAGCCAGUACUAAGGUCUCUAAUACCUAAAACACAAAUUUCGGUGAUCUUAAGGUUAUAUAUUGAUGGAGUAUUGCAUUUUAAAGAAAGAUAAUUCUCUCAUUUCUUGAGAUCACGGGCAAGGUGCAAUGGUAAAGGUUUUACAAAAUUUGAAUAAGAGAUUGCGUUCGGAUUGCUCAAGAAGUAGGUCAGACCCUUUACUACUUAACACAAUGUAGAUGUUAAAAUCAUGCACCUGCAGUAAUUUAUGUGAAUCUCGUCACCUAAACAACACUUGCCCCGUCUCCUUCCCCUUUCCCUCCCUAUCAGUGAAAUCAGAAGGGGCUACAGGUUUAGUUUUUAGAUUUAUUCCUGAGGUCGAGCUGUUGACGCUUCUUUUCCAUCUUAAAGAGCAGACUUGAGUUGCCCAUUUCCAACCUCACAACAUAUUUGAACAAAGCAUAAACCUCUAAUUGAUAAAUAUUCAAGAACCUAACUAUAGUUGCACAUUUCCAACCUUGCAACAGAUCUGAACGGAAGUUAAACCUCUAAUUUAUGAAUAUUCAGCAGAACUGAACCAAACUUAAACCUCUAAUUCAUAAAUCUUCAAGAGCUGCAUUAUAGUUGCACCUUCCCACCUUUUCAGCAAUAGCUUGGUUUAUAUAAUCAAAAUGAAAUGUUAACAUGAAUCUCUUAUUCAUUUACCGCCACGUUUAGUUUAGUGCAAACUCGUUCACAUGUAAAUUCUCAUCUUGGAAUAAUUGUUACAUUGCGGCGACAAACCUAGAAAGUUCACCAUCAAACUAUGGCAGGAUGUAGAAAAUGUCUCAACCUUAGAUGAUAGGAAUUGAUGGACCAACUGGUCUUUAUAUAUCGCAUGGAUCCCACCGUGUGGCCUCAUUGCUAUAGCCUAUGCAACAAAGGAAUAACCAUCACGAAUUACCGUUUCUCCAUCUAUUCCAUAGAAUCAGCUACGGUCUAUUUAAUCAUUUGAAAAUAGACCAUCGAUGCACUCAUUCUCUAAUCUCUAUCAGCAAAUUCUUCAAAAUAAGAAAGAGCAACCCAAUUCAACCACUAGUUAACCCACGAUACAUGACCAUUCCCCUAUCGAUGUGAUCAAUGCUAGUGGCUCUCCUGGACAAAACCAAAAGGUCCAACACCCAUUACAAAAUGUCACAUUAAACAAUAGUUAUCACUUACCACUUAUGGCCCCCGAAAUUUAAGGUUGAUGAGCCCUUACUGUAGGGCCACCAAUAUGCUAAUAGUGGAAAAUUUCUCAAUAAAAAGUAUGCAAUAACUAGGUAAUGCAACUCAAGUUUUUUAGAGGUUUGUCUACAAUGAGAAUCAUAUUGGUGACUUUGUCAAACAUAGGUGAUCCUUUUACAAUUAGAUCAACCACUUUAGAGGUGAUUGACUCUCACGUGAUUUGGCUACAAGAUGCUUAGUCUUCCAAUUAUUUAAUUGAAUCACUGAAAGAAAUUCAAAGAAAAGGAAAACAUUGAAAGAAUACUUAAUUUGAUUUAUAAUACAAUUGCUCAAAUCAUUGUAGUCUCUUUGAAUGGUGGAGUGGAGUUCAUGCAUCUUUUUUGAUGGGGACUGACAUGAGUUCUUUUGUCGACAUUGAUCUUGUGCAUGUUGCAAUUGAUUUUCUCAUAUUAAGGGUAAGAUCACAACUUGAAUCAAGUUACAUUAAUUAUUAGGCUUGCACGUUGCGCAGGAUUAAAGCUAAAGUUCGUUAGUAAGAAUAACUCACAUAUCAAACUUAACAGACAUGUUGAUAUCAUGGUUUAAAUUUUCAACCUACACUUGUAAUUAGGUGAUGCCUUUGAACUGUAUAAACCCGUGUCAACUGCUGGAGUUUUGUAAUGAAAAUAGACCAUCAAUGCACAUUAUGGCAGAAAAUGAUAGUUAUCACUUAAACAAUAGUUAUCAAUUACCACUGUUGACACCUAAUUUUUGUUUUCAAAUACAAAAAAAAAAAAAUAGAGAAAAAGAGAAAAAAAAGAAAAAGAAAAAUAACCAAAACAAAAAAAACAAAACAAACAAAGAAAAGAAAAAGAAAAAGAAAAAAUGCCUCUUUUUCCUUUGCGCAACCUAGGCAUGUUUCCCCUUUGGCCUGGCGGCCCAUGCCAACCUUCUCCCUCCUUCAUCUUCGCGCAUGAAACCCUUAAAAAAAAAAGAAGAUAGCACGAGAGAGCAGAGAGAGAGAGAGAGAGAGAGAGAGAGAGAGACAGAGAGAGACAGAGAGAGACAGAGAGAGAGAGCUCGAGGAAAAAUGCCGUCGCCGGCAAUGGCGCUCGACCGAUGCCGACCCUGCCACUGCUCGACCCAGAACCCAGAUUUGAAGGCGUUGUGUGGAGGAGGUUAGAUCCGGCAGGACUAGAGACGCCGUUUGAGCCGUCGCUGCCCUUCGUCGACCCCGUCAUCUAAGCCACCACCCUUCGAGCGACACUAGGACUCCACAACUGCAGCUACUGUUUCGCAAUUGCCAGAGCUCCAGACACCAUCGCGUUGCAGCCCUCAGCCAAGCCAACACCCUCCUACCUAACGCCGUUCGAGCUGACACCCGCGCACUGUUGCCUCCGAGCGCCAACGCCUGCGCCUGCACCUUCGCCACUGCCGUAGCUAGUUCGCUGCUCCCCUUUGCUAGAUUGCCGCCGCAUCGGCACCUCUACAUGAGCACCCUCCCGCAACACCAGAACUGAUUGCCGAGCCACCGCGUGCCUUGGCCGCGCCUCCACUAGUCACCUCUAAGUCCUGACGAAGACAGAUAUGAGUUGUUCAUCACUCCACUGCCUAGCGAACCUUGCACAGGCUCGCACCUCCGCACUGCUGCUCUUGGCCACGUCUCCGCCAGUCAUCGCCAUGCCCCGUCUUGCUGAGUCGCCACAUGCCUUCGAGCAUCGAUGCUAGUCACCGCUGAGUCUCGACGACGAUAGAUCUUAAUUGGCCGUCUCUCCACCAUCAAGUGAGCCUCGCAUCAGUUUGUGCCUCCAUGCUGCCGGCCGCUUCGCCUUCGCCUCUGCUCCGGCCCUGUUCGUGACCCAGCGCCGAUGUUGUAGCGACCGCCAGCAACCCGAUCCCUUUGCCGUCGUCACAGCACCAGUACCGUCGCCGCCUGUCCUCGCAGAUGCUGCGUUGCCGUCAUUGCUUGCCGCGUUGUUGCCGCCGUCAAGCCCGUCGCCGUUGCCACCCACCGCUUCGCCGCUGCAACAUAGCAGGAGAGAGAGAGGAGGCAAACUGGGUCUUGGCCAGGUCGAGCAAAAGCCUUGUCGGGUAGGGUUUUGAGCAUUCCGGGCCGGGUAAUUCAGUUUUGGGGUUGGGUUUGGGCUAACUUAGUGUGGGCUUGUAGGCUUUAUUUAUUUUGAAAAUAAAGUAGACCGGACUGGGCCUGCACUUCAGGCCCAGCCCGGCUGGUUUGCAUUGCGUGGCCUGGCUCAGUCUGAGCUUGGGCUGCUUAGCCCGAUCUCGGGCCCUUUUCAUCGAAUCGGGUCAGACCCAACCGGGGAUCCAACUCGGUUCGUUUUAAAUAUAUUAUAUUAUUAUAAUAUUAAAAUAAUAUUUAAAAAAAAAAAAAAAAAUUCGAAAAUCCAAAAAAUAUAGGGUUUGAUUGGGAAUUGCUAUGUUUUGCAUUCUUAGUGUAAUUAGACCUCUAUUUGCUCAUAUGUUGAUUGGAUCAUGUGUUUAGUUUACAUAUUUAUUAUGUUUAAUUGCACGUGUUUAAUUUUAUGGCAAUUAGCACCUUGGUAGCUAUGAUUGUUAUUUUAAUGAUUGCGCACUUGCAUGAUCAUCUCAUAUGUUAGUGGAUAGGUAUAAAAUCAACCCAAACUGCCUGCUAAAAAUCAUUUUGUUAAAAUGAACAAGAUAAGGUACCGAAAGAGCAUUAAUUGAUCAAUUAGUGUAAUCAAGUCCCCGACCCUAGAUUCUUUAGUUGCGUAGGAAGUGAGGUACACUCCUAUGUCUCACUUGGUUUCUAGCCGAUCCUGAUAGGCUAGUGGCGACUCAUUUUGUGCAAAAAUUCCUAAAGAAUAUCUCAAUGUCACGCAGGGUAUGGGCUUGGGAAAGCCCACUCCUAAUCAUGGGCCUUAGGCCUGUCCUUUAGGCAAUAUCUCUAAACUUGUUCCCUCCCCUCGAGGGUAGGUCGCGACAGCUUGGCGACUCCACUAGGGACUUGGUUUUAAACCUUAGAGGAAUUAGGCGAAAAUUAAUCUUGUUCAAAAAUAUUUUUGCAGGGAGGUGUAGGAAUGUAUUGUUUAUUUUUAUAUAUGAAGUGUUGCUUGCCUAUAAAUUGUUGUGCAUGUAUCCUUUGCAUUACACUACACCUUAGCACGCACAACUUGCCGCCGGACUUGGGCCGCAUAGGAUCACCUAGGAUGGUGUUGAGGUGGAUACCACUUCGACUACAACCAUAUAGUACGAGUCACCUAUCUCUACCCCGAAAUUUCUUUCAUGUCAAAGGUACCUAGCCUGGUCUGCAAUCGUGUGACACAGGUCGGUUCUUUGACGAAGCCGGAUUCAUGGGUAACACGACCUAGUCGCAAGCAUGUUGGUUCAGUCCUGUAAUCCCAUGGCUUCAUUUUGAGCCGAAUAGAGUAGAAAUCAAACCACAUCCCAUGUGCAUGUCUGUGUACUUGAAAAAAAAAAAACAGAGACAAAGGUCAAAACCCAUUGUAAGUAUCGUUUUCCUUUUUAUUUGCUCAUUUGUAUUGCAUUUUCAUCUUGAAAUUCGCGGAAAUCAAUUGAAUACCCUUGGUGAUGUAGGCAUAUGAUUGAAAAAUUGGCAAUCACUUUUGACAAGUAAGCAUUUGAAUGCAAGUUCUAAACAUUUUGAUUUGGCCCUGUUGAACACAUGAUUUUAUUUAAAUUCCUAGUUAUGGGCUCAAAAUCACAUUAAAAAAAAAACCAAAAAAAGGGCUCGCAAGUUGCGAUUAUAUAUUGGGGUACAAAAAUUAAGAUUGCAUUUUUGAUCAAACUCUUUCCUUCUCACAUUUUGGGACUAAAAUGCAAAUCGCAUGUUGUAUAGAUUUCUCAAAAUAGAAGUCACUUCAUUUUUUGCAAGAGUAAAAUCAUAAAACCAAUCUCUUCAAAAAAAACAAAAAUUAAUGCCACUUUUGCAUACGGAACAUUUGGAAUAAAAGUGGACAAUCGAUUGAUGGUCGUGGAUUGAUUAUUUAAAUGAUGUCUUCUUUUAUGAUAAAAUCUUGGCGAAAUACAAAGAUCCCGUAGUAAGGAUUAUGGGGCAUGUAUCGUUGCCUUGAUUUUGUUGUAAGAAGCAACCUCAUUGAUCACAUAUUGACAUUGUCGUCUUUCUGCAGGUUAUGCAUGAUGCUCCUUGACAUUCUCAUGGUGACCACAUAAAGAAGUGAAUUAUAGAGUUAGGACAGGAAUUGAUUUUUACUUUCAUCUAUGCAAGAGUUUCUUGUAUUUUAUCAUUGUCUUUAUUCUUGUUAAGAACCAUGUUUUCCGUUUUGGGUUUUGAUUGUGAAUCCAAUUGAUGCUUUUGUAAAUCACGCGACUCAUAUUUUUUUAUGAUGGAAUUCAACUUCAUGAAAAUCAUCCUUUAAAAAAAAAUUCAGAAGUGUUUCAAGCGAACCUUUACGUCUACCUUCCAAAAUGAAUUUAAAAAAAAACUUUACUUAAAGCCCUCUCUUCACGUGGUCGUUUUCUCGGGCUCAUAGAACUCAAGGAGUAAGCAUGUGUCAACGCUUCGUCGGUGCCAAUCUUCCAUAAAAGUGGAACGAAGUUGAGUUCUAUUCUAGGAAAUUUCUUUAUUUGAAGGGAAAUGACGCAAAUGCCUUACGUGCCAAAAUAUCCCAUCGAUCUCGUUCACUUUGCAUGAUGAGACAAAUGAAAGGAGUUGCCAAGCGUCCAAAAAGGCGAAUUCGAAGGAAGAGUAAACUGUUUCGAUUCCAAUUACAUGUUUCUAAUACCGUUUCUAACAUGACUUUCUUUUCAUUGUCAAGGAGACAUUAAGAGUACCAAGUUUUGUAACGCUCCAACAAAUGCGAUGGAACGUUAUUAAGUCAUGUUCAUCUUAAACAAAGAAAGACUCAAAUAAAACAAAGGGGCAAUAUUACCCCUUCCUCCAUAAGAGACACCUUGGGAUGUUGAUUGCCCGACUUUGAAAAGGGAUGCAUUUCGUUCCUAAACUUGACUCUCUUUAGUAUAAAAAAUGACAUAUCCUUUUCUUUGGUACAGGACAGACUUGAACAGAACAAAGAUUUGUCAAAUAAAGAGUGGGAGAACAACGUUUGAUUUAGAGAAAAACGUCUCCUACCCACCAAUGAAGUGUGUUGAAACAACAUUGUCAAAUUCAUCAAGAAUGAUGUAUCGUUCCUCAAUUGAACCUAACUAAGAAUGGAGAUAACUUGUUUCAUCUACCCUUCUUAUAGGGUGAUAACAAGUUUGCGCAUUGACCGUAGAAGCGGUGCCUUCUACCAAGGAAUCAGGAAGAUGUCAAACACUUAAAGGCAAAUGCAACGGAAGGGUAUUGUCGAGUUACCAAAUAUCCACGAAGGUGAAUCCAAGAGAUGUUAGUGCCUAAAGGAUGAAAGCGAAUGAAGGGUAAUAAUGUAUCGUUUCCAACAUUUCAAUCCCUAAAGAUUUUUUCACUAACAUAUUCUUUCACAUUCUCUACAGGGUUACCGAGUCACCAUGCCACAGGUAAGUACCCUUCUUCUCAUUGUUUUCCUUAAAAAAAAAAGAAGAAAAAAGAAAAAGAAACAUAGAAUUUUCUUUAUAAAAAAAAAACCUUUGGCGCUUUCCUAGAAACAAGCACAUAAAUGAAUAAUUGAAAAAAAAAAUUCUACAAACUUUUUUAGCAUCCUUUUUAUCUCAAAAUUGUUUUAUUGUUUUGUGGAUUAUUCAUUUUGAAUCAAAUUUCCUUAUGGAGAUUAAUCUACUCAGAUUAUCUCGACAGAGUUAGAUGAAGACGUUAACCAUGCCAAAUAAGAAGCACUUAGGAUGAAGAAACGCAAGCCAUUUUCAAACACAUCCUUUAAAUACUUCUGAGAGUUGAGUGAAAUGCGACAUUCUUUUAGGACGAAAGAUUCAUUCGCAUUGAGUACAAAGAUCGAAAUGAUAAAGGCAUUUCCUUCAUCAAUCUCAAGCACUGAGCUGACAUCUUGCUACCCUUUUGGGCCAAAUAAAGAUGAUCCUUCAAAGUAACCCUGUCGAGGAUGACCCUACUUUGGGGUAGCAUAGGAGGUUACAAUCAUGUUAUAGAGCGAAAGAUUGAGAAAGAUCCUAUUGCUUUCACUUGCAUCAAUCUUAUGGUGAUAGCUUCAGAGGAAUUAUCAUUAGAGCUUGACUAAUCCCAAUAUGAAGAAUAGCAUUUCUUUCUCUACCCAAACACUGAUACCCAUUGCUUUAACUAAUUUUGGCUUGAUUAUUCAUUUAUGAACCCCAAGCGGUGAUCAUCUCCCUUCAUUGGGGCAAGUUAUAAGAAUUGACAAAAUACAAUUUACAGUCAUGAGAAAAUGUGAAAAGCAUCUCGAAAGUAAUAAGAGCUACAAGAGUUCAAAGAGCAAAAAGUAUGACAAACUAGGAGGCAUAAAAAAACAGUGUGCCUGAUAAAAGCAAGACCAAUGCCCGUUAAGAAAAAAAAAAAGCCAAAAAGUUGCAUCUUAUGUGGAAGAAAAAAUUAUCAAAGUCCAAGUGCUUGCGCAAAAAAAUUCAUCGCAAGAGCAAAGGACAUUAGAAAAAGGAGCAAAGCUCCCAUGCAUAAAAGAGUGGUCAAGGGACUUUCGAGAUGUGCUGUGUUUCAAAAGUCAAAUGAUUUCAAAAGAUCGAGUGAUCUGGUCACAAUGCCAUGAUGAUCACCGACUCUUAAAAACCCUCUUGAAAAUUUUAAGCCUUCCAAGCCUUGCCCGAGCCAACAUUACAACCCUCUUUCGAAGUCUCUUCUAAUUGGGAUGGUUUAAGUGAAAAUGAGAAUACCACCAAGAAGCUACUACUUGAAGGAGUUGAAGUAAUUUUAUCUUGUCUUAUCUUCCAAGUUCUCGACUUGUAAACCCGUUGAAGAUAGUGACGAAUGUUCCUUUAUUGGCCUCAAAGCAAUAAUUCCUUUGUGUCAGCCCUAACCAAGCCUAUAUUGCGGUCAUUUCAAAAGACCUUUUUUAUCGAUUAGAUUGUGCUCAUUGCGAAUGUUUCUGAAAGCCUUUGAGACGGGUUAUGUGAGAUACCCUCAGCAAUCAGUUACUUCCCACACGAAUGGAUGGGAUCAAGCAGCCAUUUUAUUGAGAAUGUGUGAGAAACCCUUUCUGACUAAGAAGCUCUAGUUUGGCAUGCUUAAUGAGCCUUUUUUUAUGAGUCGUAGCUGUUAUGAUAAGAACUUGACUCUCGGAGAAUUUGAUGAUUAAUGAUACAUUUCCGAACAAAAUGACAGUUUUGCGCCACAUGAUACUGAUUCAAAUCGAAUGUUUUUCUAAAGCAGUCGGACUUAGCUUAAUUAGCUUGUCCAAGUAAUGCUGCAAUAUUGCCAAUACAUCUCUUGAUGAUGUCUCUAAUGACAUUUGCUCAAGUUGAAUUUGACAAGAUCCCUUAGUGAAGCCAUGCAAUUUUCAAGGGGUUAGCGGGUGCUUCCCUAAAACCAAAGGUUCAUGGUCAGCCUUAAACCAUGUUAUCUCCAAAGGUUCAUGGUCAAUCUCAAACCAUGUUGUCUCUCAAGGUUCAUGGUCAGCCUUAAACUAUGUUAUCUCCAAAGGUUCAUGGUCAAUCUUAAACCAUGUCGUCUCUGAAGGUUCACGGUCAGCCUUAAACCAUGCCAUCUCCAAAGGUUCACGGUUUACCUUAAACCAUGUCUUCUACAAAGAUUCAUGGGCUUUCCUCAAGCCAUUUAUUUUCAGCUCGGUCAAAACUCGUUCGUACACGGUGAGACUAUCAUACCCGGUCGAAACCCGUUAUUACAUGGUGAGACCUCAUUACUCCCUUCUUACGACCCGGAGAGCUUUGUAUCUCGGAGUCUUCCUCUCUUCUUAUGACUCGGAGAGCUUUGUAUCCUGGAGUCUUUUUCUCUUCUUAUGACCCGGAGAGCUUUGUAUCCCAGAGUCUUUUUCUCUUCUUAUGACCCGGAGAACUUUGUAUCCUAGAGUCUUUUCUCUUCUUAUGACUUGGAGAGCUUUGUAUCUUGGAGUCUUUUCUCUUCUUAUGACCCGGUGGGCUUCUGUAGCCCGGAGUAUUCUAUUUUCUUAUGACCCGGAGAGCUUUGUAUCUUGGAGUCUUCUCUUUUCUUAUGACCCGGAGAGCUUUGUAUCCUAGAGUAUUUUCUCUUCUUAUGACCCGGACAACUUUCUAUCCUGUAGUCUUUUCUCUUCUUAUGACUCGGUGAGCUUCUGUAGCCCGAAGUCUUCUCUCUUCUUAUGACCCGGUGGGCUUCUGAAGCCCAAAGUCUUCUCUCUUCUUAUGACCCAGAGAACUUUGUAUCUUGGAGCCUUCUCUGUUCUUAUGACCCGGUGGGCUUCUAUAGCCCGGAGUCUUUUCUCUUCUUAUGACCCAGUGGGCUUCUGUAUCUCGGAGUCUUCUCUCUUCUUAUGACCCGGUGGGCUUCUGUAGCCCAGAGUCUUCUUUCUUCUUAUGACUCAGUGGGGCUUUCCGUAACCCGGAGUCCUUCUCCCCCUUCUUAUGACUCGGUGGACUUUUCGUAACUUAGAGUCCUUUCCCCCCUUCUUAUGACCUGGUGGGCUUUCCGUAGCCAGGAGUCUUCUCUCUUCUUAUGACCCGGUGGGCUUCUGUAACUCGGAGUCUUCUCUCUUCUUAUGACCUGGUGGGCUUCUAUAGCCAGGAGUCUUCUCUCUUCUUAUGACCCGGUGGGCUUCUAUAGCCCUGAGUCUUUCUUCCUCUUAUUGACAAGACACGCUUCCAUAAUUAUGAGUCAUUUUCGUCGAUUUGCCGCGUGCCUAUGCACCUAGAGUCUCUCUACCACCGAAAUAAUGUAGGUGUCUUCUAUCUUUGAAUGCAACCUCUUCGAGGCUACAUUUAAAGAGAGGCAGCUGUUGACAUCUAAUUUUUGUUUUCAAAUACAAAAAAAAAGUUAGAGAAAAAGAGAAAAAAAAAAAAGAAAGAGAAAAAGAGAAAAAAAAAGAAAAAAAAAAGAAAAAGAAAAAUAACAAAAGAAAAAGAAAAGAAAAGGAAAAAGAAAAAAAUGCCUCUUUUUCCCUUGCGUGACCCAGGCUUGUUUCCCCUUUGGCUUGGCCCAUGCCAGCCUUCUCCCUCCUUCAUCUUCGCGAGUGAAACCCUUAAAAAAAAAAAAAAAACUCUUUUUCCCUUGCGUGACCCAGGCUUGUUUCCCCUUUGGCUUGGCCCACGCCAGCCUUCUCCCUCCUUCAUCUUCGCGAGUGAAACCCUUAAAAAAAAAAAAAAAGAGCACCAGAGAGAGAGAGAGAGAGAGAGAGAGAGAGAGAGAGAGAGAGAGAGAGAGAGAGAGAGAGAGAAUGCUCGAGGAAAAACACAAUUGUCGGCAAUGGCGCUCGACCAACGCCGACCCUGCUGCUGCUCGACCCAAAACCUAGAUUUGAAGGCGUCGUGUGGAGGAGGUCAGAUCUGGUAGGACUAGAGACGCCGUUCGAGUCGUCGCCACCCUCCAUCCACGCCGUCGUCUGAGCCACCACCCUUCGAGCGACACCGGGGACUCCACGACUGCAGCUGCUAUUUCGCGGUUGCCAGAGCUCCGGACACCAUCGCCGUUGCAGCCCUCGUCCAAGCCAACGCCCACCUGCCCGACGCCGUUUGAACCACCGCUUGCACAUUGUUGCCUCCGAGCGCCGACGCCCGUGCCUACACCUCCGCCACCGCCACUGCUAGUUCGUUGCUCCCCUUUGCCAGACUGCCACUGCAGCGGCACCUUUGCACGAGCACCCUCCCGUGACGCCAUAACCGAUCGCCGAGCCACUUUGCGCCUCGACCGUGCCUCGGCUAGUCACCUCUGCGUCCCGACGAAGAUAGAUAUGAAUUGUUCAUCGCUACAUCGCCUAAUGAACCUCAUGCAGGCCUGCGCCUCCGCAUUGCUACUCUUGGCCGCGUCUUUGGCAGUCAUUGCCGUGCCUCAUCUCGCUGAGUCGCCACAUGCCUCCAAGUGCUAACACUAAUCACCGCUGAGUCUCGACGACGACAGAUCUAAACUGGUUGUUGCUCCACCACCGAGCAAGCUCCGCAUUGGUUCAUGCCUCUGCGCUGCUAGCCGCCGUGCCUCUGCCUCUGCUCCGGCCUUGUUCAUGACCCAACGCCGACGUCACAGCGAUCGCCAGCACCUCGAUCCCUCUGCCGCCGUUGUAGCACUAGUACUAUUGCCGCCUGUCCUCGUAGACACUGCGUCUCCGCCACUGCCCGCCGCCAUCAAGCCCGUUGUUGCCGCCACCCACCGCUUCGCCGCUGCAACACAGUAGGAGAGAGAGGAGGCAAACCGGGUCUUGGCCAAGUCGGGCGAAGGCCCUGUCGGGUAGGGUUUUGAGCAUUCCGGGCUAGGUAUUUCAGUUUCAAAGCUAGGUUUGGGCUAGUUUAGUGUGGGCUUGUGCGCUUUAUUUAUUUUGAAAAAAAUGCAGACCGGACUGGGCCUGCACUUCAGGCCUAGCCCGAUUGGUUUGCAUCACGGGCCCGGCUCGGUCCAGGCUCGGGCCGCCUCGCCCGAUCUUGAGCCCUUUUCGCCGAACCGAGUCGAACCCAACCGGGGAUCCGACCCAGUUUGUUUUAAAUAUAUUAUAUUAUUAUAAUAUUAAAAUAAUAUUUUAAAAAAUAAAAAAAUUUGAAAAUCCAAAAAAUAUAGGGUUUGAUUGGGAAUUGCUAUGUUUUACAUUCUUACUGUAAUUAGACCUCUAUUUGCUCGUAUGUUGAUUGGAUCAUGUGUUUAGUUUACAUAUUUAUUAUGUUUAAUUGCACGUGUUUAAUUUUAUGGCAAUUAGCAUCUUGGUAGCUAUGAUUGUUAUUUUAAUAAUUACGCACAUGCAUGAUCACCUCACAUGUUAGUGGAUAGGUAUAAAAUCAACCCAAACUGCUUGCCAAAAAUCAUUUUUUUAAAUAAAAAAGAUUAGGUACCGAAAGGGUACUAAUUGGUCGAUUAAUGUAAUCAAGUCUCCGACCCUAGAUUCUCUAGUUGCGUAGGAAGUGAGGUACACUCUCAUGUCUCACUUGGUUUCUAGCCAACCCCAAUAGGCUAGUGGCGAUUCCUUUUGUGCAAAAAUUCCUAAAGAAUAUCUCAAUGUCACGCGGGGUAUGGGCUUGGGAAAGCUCACACCUAAUCAUGGGCCUUAGGCCCGUCCUUUAGGCAAUACCCCUAAAUCUGUUCCCUCCCCUCGAGGGUAGGUCGUGAGAACCACUUAUGACUUCGGCUUGAAAAAAAAAAAAAACAUAGUGUUUUUGGGAAAAUUGUCCAAAAAAAUACUAAACCUAUUGCAAGUAUACCAAUUGAGUCUUGAAUCUUAUAAUUUUUGUAUAUUAGUUUUUAAACAAUUUCAUGUUUAAUCAAUUGAGUCUAUCUGGUUGAUUUUGGCCAAAAAUCAUUGACGACUAUUGGAGACCCUUGCUUGGUCUGGGUGAGGCCACGAACCCCUUGCUACCCCUCGCUUAGGGGUGUGGCUAGUGAGGGUGUCAUAGUCCUCGCCCAUGGUCGGUGAGAGCCUCGCCCAGACCAAGUGGGGGUUGCUGACCCUCACUUCUGAUUGGUGAUGGUUGGCAGCCAAACUCACCGGCCAAAGUUGGAAAAACAAGGAAGAAUAGAAAAAAUAAAGGAAAAAUUAAAAUUAAAAUUAAAAUUCAAAAUACAAAAAAAUAUUUAAAAUAUUAUUAUAAAUUAUCUAUAUUAGUGUCGGCUAUGCCAUGUAAGACAAACAACAUCCACAUUAGCGAUUUCCAGUUAAAUUUGGCUGAAUGUAUUCAAUUGGCAAAAUUAAAAAUUUUAAAUCUGAAAUGACAAAAAUAUAAUACUACAUUUAUGAUUAUUUGGACAAUUAAUAAAAAAAAUUCAAUUACAAGGAUAUAUUAUGUACUCCGUACCAUUGCAGCAACACAAAUUAAGAAACAAUUAAAAAGAUCUUUUAAUUUUAAUACUCUGUACUCAAUAUUGCGACUUUAAAAUUUUCCUAAAUUAAAUCUUGCCACCAUACAACUAACGAUGGCCAAGUUUACUUUACAGUUAUUAGGAAAAAAGAAGCACUUGCUCCGAAUCAAUUCAUACACUGCCCGUCUAUAAGAGAUAAACCCAUUUGAAACUUUCCCAUAGUUAUUUCCAAAAAAUAAAUAAAAUUUUUCCUUAAAAAAUCAUUGGUUCUGAAAAAAGGCGGACCGCCAACAAUUCUUAAUAUUCACGGCACCAAAAUAAUUUGGAUCCUUUCUUUCAUUUUUCCAAUAAACUUGCCAACCUAUUUAAUCAUGAUAAGAUUAAUCCUUUCAUGAAUUUUAACAAACCAUAUUAUUUCAAAAAAAAAAAAAAAAGCACCGGAAACGAAACAUCUUUGUUCAACUGGUCCUAUUUUUCCAUGCAACCUUUACCUUAUGCGUACGUGCGUUCAUAACUUUUCCGACCCAUGAAAUUUUGCCGACGAAUUGAAUCCAAGUUUUGUGAUAUGUGCAAAAAUAAAUAAAUAAAUCAAUGGAGCAAUAAAAAAAAAUGAUGGACGGAUAACAAAUAACCGCCGUAGAAAAGGCCUCAAUCUGAUUGGGCCUGUUACGUUCAUCCAGAUAACUGGCCGAAGCCCAUAGAUAUUGAUCUAAUUUGGCCCAUUCGGUUUGGGCUCCAAACUCAGCCCAUCAGUUUGGCCAGUGAAACAAGUGGAACCCAUCCUCCAUCCCCUUUGUUAUUUCACUCUCUCUGGAACGACAGACGAACACCCAAGGGACGACGCCCGCGAGCAAGAAACCCGCCGUCGGCUGGCCGGUCUCCGGCGUUCGCCUACGACCGCCUUCCGCCAUUCGUACACAUCCGUCAAAGAAGCGAGAGCCGAAAGAAUCUUCUGGAUUCCUUCUUUGAGCUUUUUCUCCGUUGUUUCUGAAGGGUGUCCGGGGCAUCAUCGAUCAACGCCCGUCUUCAAGUUUCUAAAGGCGCAGCAGUUGCAGUGCUCUGCAGCGUCGACCCACUGGCGACGACUUUCUUGGGAAUUCCGGUUCUCAGUCCGAUCGGGGGUGCUCCUGGUCAUGGCAUCUACCAGGUACGAGAGUAGAUUCUCAAUAUUAAUAUGGGUAAUCGAGUCUAAGAAACGUGGUCGAGGCGCAUGUGAAAUUCGUCUCUGGUUAAAGCUUCAUCAGUGUUUCGAAUGUGCAUUGAGCCUGUGGUGAUGACCUGAUAGUGAUUCUUGGUCUCUUACGUGAGCGGAAGUUCAUUACUCGAAGUGCAUGCCACUUAUUCGAUGAAAUGUCUGAGUGAAAGCAUAAUGCAUGUCCUCUGAAGGCAUGUGUUAAUGUGAUUUGGUGGAAAUUGAUGUGAAAUUCGUCUCCUUUAAAAGCUUUAUCAAUGUCUCGAAUGUGCAUUGAAGCUGUAGUCAUGACCUGAUAGUGAUUCUUGGCCUUAUUAUAUGUGAGCGGAAGUUCAUUACUCAAAGUGCAUGCCACUUAUUCGAUGAAAUGUCUGAGUUAAGUCAGAAUGCAUCUUCUCUGAAAGAAACAAGUUCAAGAAGGCAUGUGUUGAUGGGAUUUGUGUGAGAUAAGCGGAUUCUUUAAAUAUUAAACCUGAUUUGGAUGUGCAAUGAGGUACCUGAUAGUCUUCCUGAUCUUUCUCCAUCCUGAUUUUCUAUCUCCCUUGUCGGAUCCUGCUUUGAAUUUAGUAUGGCGAGAAACUGGGCAGAGCUCCCACCAGAGUUGUUACAACUAUGCUCCCAGCGCCUUUGUCCAAAGAAUUUAUCGGCGUUCCGAGCAGUGUGCCGUUCGUGGCAAUCUGCUGCCCUCAAAGAGAGGAGCGAUGUCCCAUGGUUGAUGCUCACAGACAAAAAGGGGAUGCUGUGGCGUGAGUUUUUCUGCCUCUCAUGUCAGCAGGUUCACAAAAAGUUCUUGCCGGAAAUGAUGGCGAAUGGAUAUUUCUCUUCGCGAGGUUGGGUGUUGAUGACCAGCAGAGACUGGGAAUUCCGCAUGCUAAAGACUCCCAUGUCGCGUUACAGUCAUAUUAUUAAGCUUCCCAAUUGGAAUAAGUUCCCCAACAUCGAAGAUUUGCCUUUCUUUGAUGUUGAAUUCGUCCGUAAGUUCGUCCUAUCUGAUAGCCCUACUACAUCUCCAGAUUACAAGGUCAUGGUCAUUUAUGACAAUGGACAGUUAGGGCUUUGGAAACCUGGCGAAGAGGAGUGGACGGCAGUGGACUCCCCCACAGAUGAAAAAAAUUACGAUGUCAUAUAUUAUAAGGGGUCCUUUGUUGCUGUCGAUUUUGAAAAUAGGAUAUUGAGGUGCGAUGUUGAUGGACCAACUCCAUUUGAGGCUCGAGUAGUUUUCCAGAUGCCGCAAAGACUCCCAGAAUUCAAGCAUGAGUAUCCCCCAGGAUCCCUUUGGUACGUGAAUCAAGUGUAUCUAGUGCAAUCAACAACGGGAUCUCUGUUGUUUGUGUCACUACAGGAACAAGUAGCAUCUACCAUAACCUUUCGAUUCCGUGUUCUCGAGAUUGACCUGGAUACUCAAAUGUGCACAGAAGUUGAGAACUUGGAGAACACGUCCCUCUUCUUGGGCCACAAUUCUUCCUUCUCUUUGGAAGUCGAU
rnacentral:lncRNA from 1 species